rnacentral:lncRNA from 1 species
AAGGACGAGCUUCUUAAUUUGUGACGACGCCAAGGUCUGGCGAGCGGGAAGGUAUGUUCAGGUUUUAGUUACCGUCCAUCAUUUCCCUUGGAUUCACAAAUAAUCUGGAAUUAAAUCUGUAGCAUAGUUGUUCAUAGUGCUCAUUACUGGUGACAUACUUAGCAGUUAGCACAUUAUAUGCUCUUGCAUUGUAGUUACCAUAAUGUUGGAAUUUCUAGCCUUGCAAAGUCAACAUUCUUGUUUUUCUUUGAACCUGCUGUUCCUACCAUACUGUCCUAGCUCGCGCGCUGCUCCCUUUGCUUGGUGAUGAAUCUUCUCAAAUCUGAAUUGGGGCAACUCCUGGAGUAACAGCCUGUUUCCUUUAUAAUGAAGCGGAUCGCAGAAAGAUUUCUCUCGUUGACUACUGGACUGCAGUUUCUCUGCACAACCACAGGGGUAUUAUAGACCAAGUAAGAGCCUUGGUUUCCUCUGCACUUAUGCACCAGUUACCUGAAUUCCAGGCAGAUAGGGUUACUCUCGCAAGUAAAGCCUGGUUAAAAAUAAUCCCGCAAAAAAAAGCCGUUAAAAAAGUCCGACCCUUAUCUCCUUCCUCGGCCCACUAGAACGAUCCAGCUGAAAAUUUGAAUACACACAUCGCGUAUGUCGUUAUGGCCUGGACUACAGACUUAUCAACACCUCUUUCCCAAUACGUUUACAGAUUCUCUCCUUCACCAACCGGAAUUCCAAGAUACUUUUCUUCGAAGCCGACUGUUUCCACUGUUGAGAUAAGACGCCACAGCUGCUCCUUCAGCUUCUGAACAUUUAUUUCCCAAAAGCAGUGAGCAUUUUGCCGGGCUUAACAGCACAUCUGCAGCAGAUUCUGGAUACAUUCUUGUUGUGUGAGGAUCUCCUAAAGUACCUUUUAACUAAAAUCGCUUUCGUUAAAGUUUAUUGAUUUCUCCUAGUGACUCCUAUGACAUUAUAUUAUUUCUUUCCUAUUCAUUUUCUUGAUUCAAUACAUCUUUCUUUCUUGCAACUCAAUCAACAACUCUAAGCUAUUAGGUAUAUGUAGAGGAAAGUAUGGAACUGUCAACUUAGCCAUCUCUUUCAAAUUAGAAUAUUCAAUAUUCAUUGGUGAGCUGGCCUGGCAAGUAGAUUGGUUCCCAGUGUUACCGAAAAAGGCUUUCGCCCCGCUUUAUAUAUAAAGCAAUGAUCAACAGCAUCCGAUACAAGCGCACACCCUCACAACACACGCACACACGCACCCAAGGCAGGAUACAUAAGCGAUGAGCGCAGCAACACCAACCCAGGCACUACACUAAGAGGUGAAGCCGCAUAUGACAAACCGUGGGCUCCAAGGCGGCGCCUUCAGGAAGGGAAUGACACCGGAGCGCCGCCACCGCCCGAUCCGAGGAUCAGAGUUUCCCCUAGAGCACCACGACGGGCAAUGAGAGCCGCGAUGACGCCUUCAAGAAGGGAACGAGUUUCGCCGCCGCCGGUCCGUCCGAAGAUAGAGCAGGUUUUCACCCCGACACCACUCACUGCCACCGAACGCCACACCCCGGCUACCACGCCACCCACACGGACGUGGCAACCGGGCAGCGCCAACCCAUGGGCUCUGCCCAUGAGCACCGCGGAACCACCACCAGGGCCGCCGCCCCGGCAUCCAAGACCUUGGCACCACCUCACCCGAGAUCCGCCGCUACCCCAACCAAAGCACAUGGACGGCCCCCAAUGCCGAGACCCAAUAGGCCGGCAAAACUUGGCCUUCAUCGACCCGUGUUGUGGCAUUGGGCGCGAGACGAGCAUGGUCCUGCUGCUGGGCGCGAGACGAGCGCAGUCCUGCUGCCAGGCGUGAGACGAGGUUAGUCCUGCUGCCGGGCGUGAGGCGAGCUCGGUCAUGCUGCCAGGUGCGAGACAAGUGAUGGACCACAGCGGGGGAGGGCCAGCCCUUUGACGAAGAUAGCGGCCGGACGCCGCGAAGAUGGCUCGAAGGUCGAACCAGGCCGCCUACAAAUGCACUGACGCCAGAAAUCCAGCCGCCGCCGCAGGCAACCCGUCGAGCCGCCGUGGUGCCGACGCGACGAAGAGAAGCCUCCACCAGAGGGCUGAGCCGCCACCGCCCACAGUCGGAGCAGCAGCCACGCCGGGCCAGUGCCCCAAACCGCGCCGCCCACCGGAAAUCGCCAGAUCCGGCCGGCACGCUCCGCCACCACCGCCACCAAGCCGCUGUUGCACCGACCCCCUCGAUGUCAGCAGCCGCCACCCGACGCCCAGGGCCGCCGGGUCGCGUCGCCCGCAGCCCUCGCCGCAGGAGCCCCGUCGCACCAGAUCCGCCGCCACGGCUGGGCCCCACGCGACCCACCACCAGCCGCGCCGCCGGCCAUGUGGCCACCACCCAGCGCCGCCAGCACGCCAGGCGACGUUGCGCUGGGGCGCCCGACACCCACGCCGCGCCCCCAGCCGAAGAGAAGGACCUGCGCCGCUCCUCUGCACGCGGGGGGACCAAAAGGCCCCGCCGCCGCCAGCCCGGGCGAGCUUUGCCUGGCCAGGCCCUCUGGCGGCGGCGGGGGAGGAGGAGGGAGGAGGGAGUACUCGGGGGCGGCCGCGCCGGAAGCCCUCCCCGCCGCCUCGCGGGGGCGGCGCGGGAGGGAGAGGUUAGGUCGGGAGGGAGAGGUUCAGAGGGAGAGGUUAGGUCCGUUUCCAGUGUUUUACUUGGUUAAAAUUUCAAUAUUAUGUGCAUUUUGACUUGCUAUGCCCCUUAGGAAAGCAGAGCAUGCAUUGUCACUUAUUUGGUCAAGUUCACUCGUUCUUGUCAGCUAUGAACAUGAAUUUUUCUUCCGUUGACUAUAGGACAGUGCCAAGUGUUUUUAAUUGUCACAGAUGUGCAUGUCGUAAGAACAGUUUUGUUUGAUUAUGUGGGUUAGAGUUAUAUAGGUUAACAGUAUGAAAUAAUAGUGUAGGGGGAUUGCUUUGAGGUUGUUCUGAAUUCACUUUUCUAUUGUGGUUGGAGAGUUUUGGCAAGUGCUUGCUACUAGCACAACGCCCUAACAGUUUGAUUUAAUUAAACAACUAUAGCUAUUUGAUCCAUACAUCUAGAAAUAUUAUUAGAUAGAUAUUGAGAAAGUUACCUGUUACAGUCACAUUAGCCAGCUAUUGAAAGUAGAAUAUUCAUAUCGGGUGAGCUAACAUGUAUAUCAGAUAUCUUUCCUCUUUGACUUGCUCGGUUCAAAUUGAAACAUUUGGGCCAUUUUAAGCUCAGCUGCCCCUGUACGGAAGAGCAUGUACGAUCGGUCAUUUGGUUCAUUGUCACUUGUGGUGGUCAGUUAGUAACAUUAAGUUUGCUGCAGUGGACUAUUGCACAGUCCCAUGUGUUUUAAAUUUCUCAUUGACCUGCCUGUUCGAAGUACAUCUUUGCUUGGUUGGGUGGGUUAGAGUUAGCUACGUUAACAACAAUUAAUAAGAGUUUGGGACGAUUUCUUGGAAAUGUUCUGUUUAUUUAACUUUUUCAUUGUGGUUGGAGAAUUUUGAAGUGUUUCGGCAAGUGCUUGGUACUAGCAGAAUGCACUAACGGUUUAACUAAUACAGCACUCACUUCAUUUUGCAGUGGCCAUUCUAUUGAUAUUUGAGUAAGUAUACAACUAGGCAACCACCCAUCAGAAGCCAGGUAUCCUGGUGGUUCUCUGGUUUUGAUGUGUAAAAGGAAGGAGGAUUCUUCAAGUUGAAGAUCAGAUCCAGCUACGUUUCAUCAACAAAAAGCUAGCACGCUCUCAGUCGUACCCAUGGCUACAUGAGGGUUCAGGAUCUCCAUGGUUAAGCUUCGAUGACAAGUUGACAAUCUCAACGGCCAAGUCAUGAGGUCUUGUUUUUUGUCAGGAUCCACGAGAUUAUUCCAAUUGUUUCAGAUUCAGAAAUGCAUGAGGUAACCAACAUUGAUUGGAUCUAAGCCAUUACGAGGCAGGUGUGUCAUCCUUCCUUUAUUUUUUAGCUGUCUUAGGCUGUCCUCGUAACAAUUUCCCUUGGUGCAAACAAAAACCACUCCUGUUGUAUCUUUUGAAGUUAGCAAAAAGAAAGUAUACUUCGUGACUAAUGAAUUGUUGUUUCUUCCAGCACUGUAAGAACAAUAAAAUUAUCUCCUGGAAGGACGAGUUUCUUAAUUUGUGACGAUGACAAGGUCUUGCAAGCAGGAAGGUAUGUUUAGGUUUUAGUUGCCGCCUAUUCUUUCACAAAUAAUCUGGAAUUAAUCUGUAGUAUAGUUGUUCAUAAUGAUAUAUUUAUUUCUCCUAAUGAUUCCUGAUGCAAUAUAGCUUUGUUUACUUAUUCAUUUUCUUGACUGCAAUACAUAUUUCUUGCAACUCUACCAACAACUAUAGCUAUUUAUUUGUUUGUCCAUACAUCUGGAAAUAAGUAUUUGUGAAUAUGAAGGAAAGUAUGGAACUAACUCUCUGAAAGUGAAACAUUUAUUUCGGCAAUCUGGCAGGUAUGCCGGAUUGGUUCCCUCUUUGCCUUUGUUCAAAUUUCAAUAUUUUGGGCAUUUUAACCUGAGAUGUUCCUAUACAGAAGCGUUGAGUUUGGGCCUUUGGGGCAUUUUAACCUGAGAUGUUCCUAUACAGAAGCAUGGCUAGUUAUUUGGUCGAGUAUCCCUCUUGUCAAGUAAUAACAUCAAAUUUGCCGCAGUUGACUAUAGCACAGUCCCAAGUGUUCUUAAAUUCUCAUGGACCUGCCUGUCGUAAGAACUGUUUUGUUGGAUCAUGUGGGUUAGAAUUAGAUAGGUUAACAACAUGAAAUAAGAGUUUAGGAGGAUUACUUUAAUGACUUCUGCUUAUACUUUUCCAUUAUGGCUGGAGAGUUUUGAAAUGUUUUGGCAAGUGCUUACUACUACCAGAAUGCACUAGCAGAUUAAUUAAUGCAUCACUUACUUCAUUUUGCAGUGAACUUUCUGAUGAUACCGAGGAAAGUAUACAACUAGGACGCCACCAACCAACGAGGCAUUAGAAAACCUCAGGAAGUAAUGGCGGAGAUUGUGAUCCUUCUAGCCAUUAAAAAGAUUGGAAUUGCCUUGGCAAAAGGAGCGGCAGACCAGGCCAGUGUGCAGUUUGCGAAGUACGGGGCACAACUACUGGAGCUACAUGGUAGCAUGGGUCGUGUUGCCAGGGAGCUUCGGGUAAUGCAUGAUGUUCUUUAUCAAAUGGACAUUCGAAACCGCAGCAAUCAAGUAUAUGAGGGCUGGUUAGAGGAGGUGCGCAAAGUAGCACAUGUGAUGGAGGACAUGGUGGAUGAGUACUUGUAUUUAGUUGGCCGAGAACAUGAUAUAGGUUGUUGUUUCUUCCUGAACAAAGGGUUCAAAAAGCCAAGAUCACUGCUUUGUUUGAAUCAGAUAGCUCUCAGAGUGAAGGAAAUGGAGAAAUACCUUUUGCACCUGUCAGAGACAAAAAACCGUUGGGUUCCCAUGAUAAAUAAUGGGGAUUCUAGCAACCUCAGUUACAUUGUCAAGAGAUCCCAAGAUCUAGCAAACAUUUCACGCUCCCUUGAUGAAGAAGAUCUAGUGGGGGUGGAUAAAAACAGAGAAAAACUCGAGCAGUGGUUGGAAAGUGAUGAUCUGGAAUGCUCUGUGAUAGCUCUGCUUGGAAUGGGUGGUCUUGGUAAAACUGCUUUAGCUGCAAAUGUCUACAAGAAGGAGAGGGAGAAAUUCCAGUGCUACGCCUGGGUCUCCAUCUCUCAAACUUAUUCUAGAGAAGAUGUCUUGAAAAAUAUGAUCAAAGAACUUUUUAAAGAUAAUGCCAGUGUUCUAUCUAGCACUCUGGCUAUGGACAUCAUGAGCCUUGAAGAGACACUAAAGAAAUAUCUGGAGCAAAGGAAGUACUUUAUCAUAUUGGAUGAUGUUUGGGAUCUGCAAGCAUUUGAUGAUUUGUCAAGGAUGUUUAUUCAUAAUGAUAAGGGCAGUAGAGUGAUGCUCACAACAAGGGAAGCCCGCGUUGCUGCACUUGCCUCUCAAGGACGUAUCUUAGCACUGGAAGCUUUACCAGAAGACAAGGCAUGGGAUCUCUUUUGUAAGAAAGCCUUUCCAAGAGAUACAAAUCAUGAGUGUCCUACAGAAUUGAAGCCAUCAUCCAAGGAAAUAGUUAGCAAGUGCAAAGGCUUGCCUCUUGCUAUUGUGUCAGUUGGUAGCCUCUUGCGUGUGCGUGAGAAAACCGUGGAAGAAUGGAGAAGAAUAAAUGACCAACUAAGCUGGGAGAUAAUUAACAAUUCAAGGCUGGAUCACAUAAGGAAUGUUUUGCAUCUGAGCUUCAUCUACCUCCCAACAUACUUAAAAAGUUGUUUUCUGUACUGCAGCUUAUUUCCAGAAGACUAUCAUUUUAGAAGGAAACAACUUGUACGGUUAUGGACAGCAGAUGGGCUCAUCGGGGAGAGGGGUGAAAGCACACUAGAAGAAGUGGCAGAAGACUGCCUGAAGGAGUUGGUUGACAGAAACAUGCUACAACUUGUUGAGAGGAACUCAUUUGGUAGGAUGAAGACAUUCAGAAUGCACGAUCUCUUACGUGAGCUGGCAGUAGAUUUGUGCCAGAAGAACUGUUUUGGUGUUAGUUAUGAGGAUGAGUGUGGGGGGUCUCUUGAGAUGGAUGGACGUCGGUUGGUGCUUCACAAACUAAAGAAGGAUAUUGAGCAGCCAUUUUUCAAUAUGCACCAACUUCGGACUGUCAUUACACUGGGCGGCAGCAAGUCACCAUUCAAUCUACUUCCUUUGUUGUGUAAUGAGUCGAGAUAUAUGACAGUGCUUGAAUUAAGUGGUCUGCCCAUCAAGAAGAUUCCAGAUGCUAUUGGGGAUCUUUUUAAUCUCCGCCAUUUGGGUUUGCGUGGUACAAAAGUGAAGAUGCUUCCGAAAUCAGUUGAGAAGCUUUCAAAUCUGUUGACACUGGACCUUUAUGGAUCUGACAUACAUGAGUUACCUAGUGGGAUUGUGAAACUGAAGAGGCUCAGACACUUAUUUGCUGAGAGAGUAACUGAUCCAGAAGGAAGAGAGUUUAAAUGUCGCAGUGGUAUGUACAUCCCCAAUGGUCUUGGAAAUCUAACAAACUUGCAUACACUACAAGCAUUGGAAGCACAAGAUGAGUCAAUUAGACAUUUAGGGGAGUUGAGGCAACUGAGAAGCUUGAGGUUAUGGAAUGUGAAGGGGAUCUACUGUCAACGCAUCACCGAGUCUCUAGGUCAGAUGCGGUACUUGUCCUACCUAUCUGUGGGUGCAGGUGAUGAGAACGAAGUUCUCUUGUUGAAUGUCUGCCUGCCAAGCCUGCAAAAGCUAACUUUGAGAGGACGACUAGCAGAAGGGGCGUUAGACGAAUCUGCUCUCUUCCAAGCUGGUAGGGGGCUGAACUUGUAUGAAUUGCAUCUAUCUUGGUCCCAGCUGAGAGAAGACCCCCUGCCAUCCCUUUCUCGGUUGUCAAACUUGGCAUAUCUAGAUCUCACCAGAGCAUACAAUGGAGAGCAGUUGGUAUUUCUCAUGGGCUGUUUUCCCAAGCUAAAGGUUCUCUAUCUAUAUGACAUGCCUAAUCUGAAUCGCCUAGAGAUACAGCAAGGUGCCAUGGUGAGCCUGGAAAGAUUAAUCUUAGCCAACCUCAGCAGCAUGACGGAGGUUCCACCUGGCAUAAGUUCCUCCUGCCCCUCCAGUUUCUAUUCUUCCAGGAAAUCACCAGCGACUUCCUAACAUCGUUGCGCCAAUGUUCUGCAAUUGAAGGGAAGUUCCAGUAUACUCGCCGACGGCGUUGACUUGCCACACUGGUCGGAAAUGUGCACCUACGCAAGGUACAGCCACUCACCUGCAAAUUACAAAUUAGUACCACUACUCUUUGUUUCCUGGUCUCUAAUCAUACUGCUCUAACAUGUUGGUCUAUUUUUUUGGUUAUGUAGGUCACCGGCCGGAAGGAAGAAGCUUUCAUUAUUUGGGCCGCAUCCAGAUUCGAUUCAGUGAGUUGAGGAGUUUCCUCUGCUGUUUCAAAACGUACCCUUGGCUGCCAGGACGAGGUACCUUUGACUGUCCUGCUGCACCCCUGUCAAUCUGCUUUGCUCCAUUUCUGCUAUCAAUCUGCUUGCUCUGCUGCGUAUGACGGUGCUUCACUUGUGCUACUGCCUCUGUUUACUGCUACUGUUACUGUUCGUCUGCUUUGCUUGUCGUAUUUUCUGCCAAUUAUUGUAAGACUCAGACUAAGUCGUGUUUCCAUUUUCAGACCCUUUUUUUUUCUGCAUUACCUGUGUUGAACUAUGUACUGAUGUUUGUUCGUGUGUGCUUGUUGUGAAGUGGUAUGUACUGUACGUUAUUUCAGCUGUGGCUGCUAAAUAAAAGACUUUGGUUUGUGAUUCAUAAUUCCCAGCUAUUCAUUCCCUUUCGAAGAAUUAGCUUGUGAUCGGUUAAUGCACAGGUAUUCAUUCUGAAUGUAGAACUGAGGGGCCAUAUGUAUCUGACGAAGGCUACAGCAUCAUGUAUGUCGCAUCAAUUGUUUCCGGGACAGCUGCUUCUUAGUUGAUGUUUAUUACUACCUAGUUUGUCUGAAUGUCGUUUCAGCUGAGAGCCAUCAGCUGUCCCAGAUUAUGCCUUCUCCUUGCCGGCCUGAUUUGCGUACCUAGAUGUCCUCCCUGUGUCGUUCAUCCAACAUGAGAAAGUGCAACACAAGAAUGUGUUGUCUUUGAACCUUCUGUUGCAUAAGAAUCCGAAAGGACAAACCUGACCAUGAAGACAGUGAUUCUUGAACUUAGCAACUACAACAGGCGUGAAAGGAACUGAAGAAACACAAAUUCUACACCUAUAUUGCAGGGAUAUGGACACCACGAACGCCAAUUUUUCGAAAAUGCAGAUACGGUGUUACGCUUCUGUGUUAAUCAAUGAUUUCAUCAGAAAACAUAUUUAGCGACAAGAGGUGUCUAGGAAGUCUCACACAUGCCACCCCUUUGCAAACCUACACAGUACCAUGCAUAAGUUCAAUUGACACCGUCAGAUUGCACUUACGGUGAUUAUACAGUCAAGUUGGCUCACCAGUCUGGCAGACAGUACCAAGCCUCAACUUUCAACUGUUCUUUUCCAACAUAUGUAGUAUUUAUGAAGAUUUAUCUCCACCGUUGAAAGUAGUUUAUGUAACUUUUAACUAAUGAUGACAGUACUGAUGUGCAAAAUAUCUAGAUUCAGACAGCAAAGCUGAACCCGUUGCAGUUCUGCAGGGUCGUACAUACGGCUGCAAUCUCAACCACAAAAGCCAGCUAGUUAUCACCAGAAUUGCUUGCACUCCUAACCAAAUUAGAUCUCGAUCAGAUACAGCAAUCAAUCAAACUCCCAUGCUAGCUAUACUCCAAAGAGGGAAAAACUCUUUGACUUAACAAUAGCUGAUUGUCUGGAAAGUGUUUCUCAUUACUGGUUGCAUAAUAGGAAUCCUGAAGCGGUAACGCCUUGAGGCUGAGCCUGCAUCAGUAUAUGUGCCAGUAGGGUCGGAUGCCGUCAUUGGGUCAUUGCUGAAGAGAAAAUAGUGUGUCACCAUAUGCUGAAAAAAGAGGUUGUGGUUGUUGCUCACCUCACUUUGCUGCAGGCAAUGGGCAACAUGCCACUGCUGAGCAUCUGGACUUCGCCCCGUUAAUUUCACACUCGACUUCGCCCCGUUGCAGGCAAUGUUGCUGUAUCCGAUCGAUCUACCGGCUGUGAAUUGCUGGCGCAUUUAGGAGUGCAAGUAAUUCCGGUCCAGGUGAUAAUUAGUUUUUUUGCUGUUCAGAUGGUAGGGUCCAGAUUUGUAUGCAAAAUUCAGCUUUUCAGAACCCUAGGUUGUUUUGCAGAUCAGUAAGAUUGGCUUACAGUUCUAGUAUUCAGGUGGAGAUAAAUAAUCUUCAGAAACUUAUCUGACUGGUGAGCCAAACAUUUUUUCUAUCAUAAUAUCAGAAUUCUUGGUUGUUUGUUCCUCGAGAGGAGUAUGCAGUGAAGGCAAAGACCCCUAUCUGAAUUAUAUGCACCUUUCGAUUUCUGCUGAUUACUGAAAAUGAAGGAUCAUGCUUGAUUACUGUUGAAGCACCGAGUUUAAUGAGCCGCAUUGACAGUGGAUUGACUGUCAGUAAUAUCUGAAUGGGGGAGCGAUGAUGCACUGCAUCGCCAAGGUGAACCAGCCGUCACAAACAACAUUGUUAUAUACAGUGUUGCAAUAUAUGUUUCAGUCCCAUAUCUGUUGGUGGUUAUUCAUGAGCAGGGGCAAGCAGAUGCUGAGGGUUUCGCCACCGCCGAUGGUUAGGAUAGGAGAAUGCUUCGUCUCAGGCCGAGCUGGCGGCGACCAGGAAAGCCAGCCUAAUCCCCUGCUAGCGAAAUGGCCCCUACACAAUCAAAAAAGGAAAAGAAAAAGAAAUGGCCCUUACACUGCAGAUAUCCUUGUCUUUUAUGUGUUCUUCUUAGGACGUGUGAGUGAGAUUUGAACUCACAUGCGUAAAAAAAAAGGAAUUUGAACUCACAAAUCUGAACCCAAUUAUGCCUCUGUACCCAUGAGCUCGACGCCUCGACCUUAAUUAAGCAUCCUCCAAGGCAUUGCCAUAUGGAGCUGUUGGCUUCGGUUGCCGGCAUUAAGCAGGGGAAAUCAUUUUGUUUGAUUUGCCUAGUAUUUAUUAACCAUAUAUCGCCGGCCCUGAAUGAUGUACCUGAUUCAGCAUCUUCGGUUGCCCAUUUUGUAUCACUUUACCUGCACUGUUAACAGGUUUCCAUGAGGUCAGGUUGACCUUAUCAACCAUGCCGGCCAGCUCCAACUGUCAUGAUUGAUUAUUGGCAGGGAUGCCAAGUUGUCUAUUUAGAAAAAUAUUCUCACCGGUGACUUGUGAGCAGAUAUCUAUAUGUUAUAGGACGGCAACGUUUGAUACUAAAGAUUCUUCGGGCUGUCCUGCUCCCUCAAGGUUUUGUAAGAGCUAUUGGGUUGGUCGGAAACACACAUGAAGAUUGCAAGAGCUUAGGCUAGUUCUUGUUGGCUUCAACAAGGCUAGCAUUCCCCACUCACCAAGGCAUCACAAUGUUUUGAUGAUUUCAAAUUGUGAAGUGCACAGAUCCAAGUCUGGGCUGGUUCUUGUUGGCUUCAACAAGGCUAGUGCUGGAUCUACAUCGAUUUCAAUCUAGGUGCGUUGCCCUUAUUUUGGUUUUCUUCCUAGUUCCCUUGUGAAUAUCCUAGCUUGCACCUGUGUAUGACUAUCACCCCAGCGUAGUCGAUGCAAAGUAAGCAACUUUCCUUGCCCUUAACUCAUGUUUUUUGUUUUAUUAAUGGGUAACAGGAACAAGGAGGACAGCUCAAUUUGAAGAUCAAACCCAGCAACUUGUCAUCAGCAAGCUCGCACACUCGCAGUCAGACCCAUGUCUCCAUGGAAGUUCAGGAUCUCCAUAUGACUAUUAUCCUAUUCUAAUGGAUUGAUAUUAUGACUGCACAAGGACUUAACCAAUCCGAUCGGAUCUAAGCCAUUACGAAACUGGUGCGCCAUCCUUCCCUGCCUAUUUGGCUAUCUUAGGUUGUACUUGGAACUACCUUGCUCACUGCAAAAAAAAAAAACUUCCUUAAAGUGAACAUGAAGACCCCUUUUAAUUUAAAUAGUUUCAGUUACAACAAUAAUAUAAUGAUCUCCGAGUGACUCCUAUUGAAUUAUAGCACUGUUUUUCUUCAUUUUCUUGAUUGUGAUACUUAUUUCUUGCAGCUUAAUCAACAAAUAAAGCUAUUUUCUGUCCAUACACCGGGAGACACUAUUAGAUACAUGUUGAAGAAAAUAUGGGACUAAGUUAUCCGACAAUAGUAAACUCUCUGAAUGUAGCCUAUUCAUAUUAGUGGGAAUCUAAUCCCUCUUUGCCUCGAUUCAAUUUCAACAUUUCAUGACAUAUUAACCCUCUGUUGAAGCACAUAAUGCAUGUCAGUUAUUGUUUCCUGCAGUUAAUAACAUUUCCAGUUUGUCAUAGUUAACUAUAGCACAACCCGUAGUGUUUUAAAUUACUCAUGGACAUGCCUGUCAUAAGAGACAUUUUCUUUGGUAAUGUAAGUUAGAAUUACAUAGGUUAAUAAUAUACCCAAUGCUGAAAGUUCCCACACAAGCUGGGGCCUAGGGAAGAGUAUUAGAUAGGAUAAUAUAAUACUAUGAAAUAAUAUUUUGGAAGGAUUGCUUAAAAAAGUUCAGAUUAAUUCAUUUCCAUUCUGGUUGGAGAGUUUUCAAGUUUUUUGGCAAGUGCUUGGUAGUAGCAAAAUGCAAUAAGUUUUUAACUAAUGCAUCACUUGCUUCAUUUCGCAGUGGUCAUUCUGAUAAUAUUGAGGAAAAUAUACAACUAGUCCAUCACCCAAAAGAGAGAUACUAGCCAUUCCCAAAGUAAUGGCAGAGAUUGUGAUUCUUCUAGCCAUUAAAAAGAUCGGAAUUGCCUUGGCAAAGGGAGCAACAGACCAGGCUAGUGUCCAGCUUAUGAAGUAUGGCACGCAACUACUUGAGCUACAGGGCAGCAUGAGCCGGGUUGCUAGGAAGCUUCGCUUAAUCCAUGAUGUUCUCUGUCAAAUGGACAUUCGAAACCGCAACAAUCAAAUAUAUGAGGGCUGGUUGGAGGACGUACGGAAAGUAGCACAUGUAAUGGAGGGCAUGGUGGAUGAGUACUUGUAUGUAGUGUUGGGGAACGUAGUAAUUUCAAAAAAUUUCCUACGCACACGCAAGAUCAUGGUGAUGCAUAGCAACGAGAGGGGAGAGUGUUGUCUACGUACCCUCGUAGACCGUAAGCGGAAGCGUUAUAUCAACGCGGUUGAUGUAGUCGAACGUCUUCACGAUCCGACCGAUCCAAGUACCGAAAGCACGGCACCUCCGAGUUCUGCACACGUACGGCUCGGUGAUGUCCUCGCCUUCUCGAUCUAGCAAGAGGGGCGAAGUAGUAGAUGAGUUCCGGCAGCACGACGGCAUGGUGACAGUGUUGGUGAAGAACAAUCUCCGCAGGGCUUCGCCUAAGCACUACGAAAACUAUGACGGAGGAUAAACUAGAGGGAACGGGGUUGCCGGCACACGGCUUGGUGUUUCUUGAUGUCUCUUUGGUGCUAGCCCUGCCCCUCUAUUUAUAUGUUGAGCCCUGGGGUCGAAACUUGGAGUAAAAGCCUCCACAAAGUCGGUUUCACCCGAAAGGCAAGAGUCCUUCUCGGACUCCAGGGCCAGAUGCCAGGGUUCCUGGCGUCUGGACCCAGACGCCAGGGACCCUGGCGUCUGGCCCCUGGACUCUGCAAAACUUCCUUUUGCGCUUUCCAAAAACCUUGUGGGCUUUCCCCUUUGGCCCAAAUAAAGUGUUCUCGUAUCCAAACAUUUCGGGAAACAUCCGGAACCCCUUCCGGUGAUUUCCGGAACCCUUCCGGUGACCAAACACUAUUAUCCAUAUAUCAAACUUUGUCUCCGGACCAUUCCGGAGUUCCUCGUCAUGUCCGUGAUCUCAUCCCGGACUCCGAACAACAUUCGGUCACCAACAUACAUAACUCACAUAGUACUAUAUCGUCAACGAACGUUAAGCGUGCGGACCCUACGGGUUCGAGAACUAUGUAGACAUGACCGAGACACCUCUCUGGUCAAUAACCAAUAGCGGGACCUGGAUGCCCAUAUUGGCUCCUACAUAUUCUACGAAGAUCUUUAUCGGUCAGACCGCAUAACAACAUACGUUGUUCCCUUUGUCAUCGGUAUGUUACUUGCCCGAGAUUCGAUCGUCGGUAUCCAAUACCUAGUUCAAUCUCGUUACCGGCAAGUCUCUUUACUCGUUCCGUAAUACAUCAUCUUGCAACUAACUCAUUAGUUGUAAUGCUUGCAAGGCUUAUGUGAUGUGCAUUACCGAGAGGGCCCGGAGAUACCUCUCCGACAAUCGGAGUGACAAAUCCUAAUCUCGAAAUACGCCAACCCAACAUGUACCUUUGGAGACACCUGUAGAGCACCUUUAUAAUCACCCAGUUACGUUGUGACGUUUGGUAGCACACAAAGUGUUCCUCCGGCAAACGGGAGUUGCAUAAUCUCAUAGUCACAGGAACAUGUAUAAGUCAUGAAUAAAGCAAUAGCAACAUACUAAACGAUCGGGUGCUAAGCUAAUGGAAUGGGUCAUGUCAAUCAGAUCAUUCACCUAAUGAUGUGAUCCCGUUAAUCAAAUAACAACUCUUUGUCUAUGGUUAGGAAACAUAACCAUCUUUGAUUAACGAGCUAGUCAAGUAGAGGCAUACUAGUGACACUCUGUUUGUCUAUGUAUUCACACAUGUAUUAUGUUUCCAGUUAAUACAAUUAUAGCAUGAAUAAUAAACAUUUAUCAUGAAAUAAGGAAAUAAAUAAUAGCUUUAUUAUUGCCUCUAGGGCAUAUUUCCUUCAUGUAGUUGGUCAGGAACAUGAUAUAGGUUGUUCCUUUUUCCCGAAGAAAGUGUUUCAAAAGCCAAUAUCUCUGCUUUCUUUGAACCGGAUAGCUUUCAAGGUGAAGGAAAUUGAGAAAGACCUUUCACACCUGUCAGAGGCAAAAAUCCGUUUGGUUCCCAUGAUAAACAUCAGGGAUACUAGCAACUUGAAUUACAUUGUCAAGAGAUCCCACGAUCUGGCUAACAUUUCACGCUCCCUUUAUGAAGAAGAUCUAGUGGGAAUUGAUAAAAAUAGAGAAAAGCUCGAGCAGUGGUUGGCAAGUGAUGAUAUGGAAUGCUCUGUGAUAGCUUUUCUUGGAAUGGGAGGACUUGGUAAGACAGCUUUAGCUGCUAAUGUCUAUAGGACACAGAGAGUAAAAUUCCAAUGCCAUGCCUGGGUUGCGAUCUCUCAAACUUAUUCUAGAGAAGACGUAUUGAGGAAUAUAGUCAAAGAACUUUCAAUAAACGAAGCCAAUGUUCUAUCAAACACUCUGACUAUGGAUAUCACAAGUCUUGAAGAAACACUGAGGAAAUUUCUAGAGAAAAAUAAGUAUUUGAUCAUAUUGGAUGAUGUGUGGACUACAGAAGCAUUUGAUGACUUAUCUAGGAUGCUUAUUCAUAAUGAUAAGGGCAGUAGACUGAUAAUCACAACAAGGGAAGGCCAUGUUGCUGCACUUGCCUCUAGGGGACAUAUCUUAGCACUAGAAGUUUUAGCAGAAGACAAGGCAUGGGAUCUAUUUUGUAAGAAAUCAUUUCCAGGAGAAGCAAAUCAUGAUUGUCCUACAAAAUUGAAGUCUUUGUCCAAAGAAAUAGUUAUCAAGUGCAAAGGCUUGCCCCUUGUUGUCGUGUUAGUUGGUGGCCUUUUGCGUGUGCAUGAGAAAACUGUGGAGGAAUGGAGAAGAAUAAAUGUCCAGUUGAGUUGGGAGAUAAUUAAUAAUUUGAGGCUUGACCAUGUAAGGAAUGUUUUGCAUCUGAGCUUCAUCUACCUCCCAACACACUUGAAAAGUUGUUUCAUGUACUGCAGUUUAUUUCCAGAAGACUAUUUCUUUAAACGGAAACAAAUUAUACGGUUAUGGAUAGCCGAGGGGUUCAUUGAGGAGAGGGGUGAAAGCACAUUAGAAGAAGUGGCAGAGGGCUAUCUAAAAGAGUUGAUUGAUAGAAACAUGCUACAACUUGUUGAGAGGAACUCAUUUGGUAGGAUAAAAGAAUUCAGGAUGCAUGAUAUAUUGCGUGAAUUGGCUAUUGAUUUGUGCCAGAAGAACUGUUUUGGUGUUACAUAUGAGGUUAAAUGUGGGGGCUCUCUUCAGGUUGUUGGACGCCGAUUGGUACUUCCAUACAUAAAAUAUGAUAUUCAACAGUCAUUUUCUAGUUUGCACCAACUUCGAACUAUCAUUACAUUGGGCAAUAGCAAGUCAUCAUUCACUCUACUACCACUGCUAUGCAUGGAGUCAAGAUAUAUGACGGUGCUAGAAUUAAGUGGUCUACCCAUUGAGAAGAUUCCAGAUGUUAUUGGAGAUCUUUUUAAUCUCCACCAUUUGGGUUUGCGUAAUUCAAAGGUGAAGAUGCUCCCAAAGUCUAUUGAGAAGCUUUCAAAUUUGUUGACACUGGACCUUUGUAAAUCUGACAUACAUGAAUUGCCUAGUGGGAUUGUGAAACUGAAGAAGCUCAGGCACUUAUUUGUUGAGAAAAUAAAUGAUCCGGAUUGGAGAAACAUUAAUCAUCUCAGUGGCAUGUGUAUACCCAAUGGAGUCGGGAAUCUGACAAACCUGCAGACACUACAAGCAUUGGAAGCACAAGAUGAGUCACUUAGACAUUUAGGGGAGCUGAGACAACUAAGAAGCUUGAGGUUAUUGAAUGUGAAGGGAAUCUACUGUGGACGCAUCUGUGAAUCUCUAGUUCAUAUGCGGCAUUUGUCCUUGCUAUCGGUGAAUGCAAGUGAUGAGAAUGAGGUUCUCCUAUUGAAUGUUUUCCUGCCAAGCCUGCAAAAGCUAAGAUUGAGAGGACGGCUAGCGCAAGGGGCGUUAGAUGAGUCUCCUAUCUUCCAAGUUGUUGGAGGCCAGAACUUGUAUGAGUUAGUUCUAUCUUUUUCACAGCUGAGAGAAGACCCCUUGCCAUCCCUUUCUUGGUUGUCAAACUUGACGCGCCUACAUUUCACUAGAGCAUACACAGGAGAGCAUUUGAAAUUUCUCACGGGGUGGUUUCCCAAGCUAAAGGUUCUCUCUCUAACAGACCUGCCUAAUUUGAAAUAUCUAGAGAUACAGGAAGGUGCCAUGGGGUGUCUGGAAAAUUUGUUUUUAAUCAAGCUCACUAGCAUGACCGAGGUCCCACUUGGCAUUGAGUUCCUCAUGCCUCUUGAGUAUCUAGGCUUCCACGAAAUCACCGGCGAGUUCCUGACAUUGCUGCGCCAUUGUUCUGCAAUUCGAGGGACGCGGUUGAGGUAUUCACUCCGAGAUUGACCUACUGCUGCUCUGGAAACAUGUGGGUACGUAACUUGCCACUAAACAACCAACUAGUACCCCUACUUGUUUUCUCCUUCAACUAGUUUUUAGAUGUUUGAUGUGAUAUGAUGUUGGUUUAUGUAGGUGUCACUGGCCAGAAGGAAGAUGCUUCGCAAUGCUGUUCAUUACGGCAGAUCAAGGAAAAUGAAGGAUUUGAUUCCAGUAGUAGUAUAUGUUCCGGAUGCAGAGUAUCUACUACACACGUCCGCGUUUCCUCUGCUUCUUCGAGCUGUACUAUUGCAUGUCUGCUCUGAGUUCCACCUCCGCCGUUACUGCCCGCAUUUACCACUGAUACUAAUGCUUAUGUAGUUGAUUGUCAAGUCUGGUAAUGUUGCCUAUUGGUUAAUUGUGGAUGUGGCUUUUUGUAGAAAUGCGAGUUGUGCUUCCUGUUCAGACUAAUUUCCAAUUAUGUACUAUUUGUGUCCUUGGUUUGUGAUUCGUACUUAUCAGGUGUUCAUUUUCAUUGUGAUGUGGUUACAGACUUUAGGUGUUGUAACUUUCUAGUUUUAGGGAUUCUUGAAAUGGUACCAGACUACCAGUGCAUAUGUGCCUGCCUGUUGUGCUUCCCAUUCAGACUAUUUUUCUGAUUUGUUUCAAUUAUGUACUGCUAUUUGUGUGCUUGGUUUGCGAUUCAUAAUGAUCAGGUCUUUGUUUUUUGUUGGGAUAUGGUAACUGCCUUCAGGUGUUGUAACUUACUAGUUUACGGGAUCCUUCAAAUGGUAUCAGCACAUAUGUGAGUGCCUAUUGUUUCCUAGCAAGCCCAUGUGGCUCUGAUGUUAUUCUUCAGGACUUCUUCAGGUUGAACUCACUAAAACAUUUAGCAUGCACUUGAAUACACAUAUGCUUCACUUAGUUUGAAACAAGUCGACUGAUGAUUACCUCUAAAUUAUCAGUCCACCAACCUGAUUAGUUGAGCCUGUUUGUCAACCAUUAUGACUGACAUGUGGAGAGCAAUGCAAUUUGCAGCUAUAUGUAUUGAACAUCAUAUUAGUUUUCUUCUAAAAGCUAUAGGAAAGUAGUCCUAUUCUUUUGUUCAGUUUUGAACACAAGUGAUGAUAGCCUAUUAUUCCAGGGUAGAACAUUAGUUUUAUUCUACUUCUGUUCAGUUUUGAAAAUAACUUGUGAUGGCAGGCAUACUCUACUUGUUACUGUAAUUUCUUUAGUCUCGCACGCUUUGCUGUGAGUUGUAGAACAACUUUUGGCCUCUUGCCGCUUAGUGGGGGUUAGCGAAAUCUUGAAUUGUUAUAUUUUUUCCAAAUGAACAUGAGCUUGUUCAGUUCUGCAUAGAACUUGUGAUGCACUGAAUCUUCAUAUUUCGCUGUGUUCUCCCCCGCCUUUGCACUACUACUAGCCCUUGGCAUUCCUUUUCAGAGUCACUAGUACUAGCCAUUGUGAUUCCUUUUGAUUGGUCUGUGUACAUUGUGGCUUAAAUGGUCACAAACGCAUCACUACAAGUGUUGCUGAUGGUACAGGUCCUACAGGAUAGUUAAUUGUUUUAAUUUAUCAAGGUUCAGUCAGGGUCUCUUGUCUUUGAAAUCUUUUACUUUUGCACGAACCAUGCUACUUUUUUCAUAUGCAAACGCAUGCUUUUGCAGCUGUGGGUCCGUCAUUUGCAAACUAGUAAAUAACUAGAAAUGAUGAUGCCAAAAUAUUAGAUCUAGGAAUCACCUUCCUCCUCCCGAUCUCCUACUCCUCCUGACUUCCUCCUCCUUCUCCUCCAGACCUCCUCCUCCUCCCGUUCUCCUCCACCCGCGCUUACCCCUCGCGUCACUCCCCAUGGCGAUGCUAGGGGCCCAGCCCUGGCACCGCCAAAAAAUCGCCGACCUAGGAGCUCCCUACCGCCGAUGCGCCGACGUUGGCUAUGGUGGCGCACUGGUGCGGCUAGUGCGGUGCCAGCGGGGAGGCAGCGAUCGUCGCCCACAUGGCCUGUAGAGAGCUCACGCGUGCUUCUCUGGCCAAUGGUUGGAGGUGGUGUUCCAUGGAUUUGAUUCCCCCUGAAUCCAUCGUCGGUCUGACUCGUCGCCGGCCGACGAUGCGUAGAGGGGUCAACGAGGGAUGCUGGAGUUCCCCGUCGGCGUUUCGGCCUCCACGGCACGGCUCCGUGUGGAUUUAGCAAGUUGCUGGUUCUGAGUGGCGCAACUGCUGCUGAAAAGCGUGCCGAUUUCGGUCAUGGCAGACGAUGGCGAUGUCUUAGGCGCCAUUCCAUAUCGAAGACAUUGUUGUUAAUCAUUGUCGCCUUGUUCGUUUGCUCCUAGGAAAACUCUAGAUCCAAGUCUCCUGAGUCAGAUGAUAACAGCUUCGGUGUCGUUCUCCCUCCUGGGGCAUCAUUUUGGAGUAGGUGCUGGCCGGAGAGGCCAAUAGAUGGAGUGGUGUUGCAUUUACAACAUCGACAAUGGUGGGUCUCGGCGACGGGCGUGUGUUGAUGGACGUACGCAUGAUGGUGGAGCUAUCUGGUGUCAUGGUGGCAUAGACGGCAGUACGUACCAAACGCAUAGAUCCGAGGGCCUGGAGCGUGCCAUGGUGCCAUCUACGCAGGGCACGGCCGGACAUGCUCGAGGUGCGCCCCGCCUAGCGCAACUGAACCAGCCCACAGGGGUCCGAAGAGGCUGACAGGCAGGUCCGGCUGGCCCGUCGGGCAUGACUUAAACCGUCUAAUGAUGGUGCCCCAUUGCGUGCCUGCGGUCCACGUCCACCCAUCAUGGACUGCCAAGGUGGAUCGCAUGGGUGCGCGCUGUCAGGGUAGAUCGGAAAGCAGCAUGACACGUGACCUGGAAAUGCUGGCGUGGAUGGCACUCUCGCCUGUGAAGCCCCCCAAGAGGCAGGUACUCCAGCAUCCUUUAUAGGAUUAUAACAAGUUUGAUUGUGCACAGCGACAUGCUGAUCAUGGAAUUGUUGUAGAAAGCACAGUAAGGCUUCGGUCAGCUAUGCCGGGGUCCCAUGGCCAUGAACGCAACGGGUCAUGUAGCAUUGCCAAAUGAUAUGCCUUACAUUGGAUUGAUGAAGCAAUAGUUGAUCCUACCGUUGCUUAAACCCAACUAAAUGUGAUAUAGAUUCAAAGAAGAGAGAGAGAGAGAGAGAGAGAGAGAGAGAGAGAGAGGAGAGAGAGAGAGAGAGCUGGCUACUGGAGACUGGAUCAAUGAAGGAACACACACUGGCAUUAACAUUCUCAAAAGUUACUUUGUAUGCAACAUGUUAUAGGGUUUGAUGUACGUAUAAUACAAACCAGACGAUAGGGAAGAAGUUUUUUCAUGUACCUUUUUGCCAGAUCCUUGAUCUUUUGUGAAGAGUCGAUACUCCUCUUUGUGAAAAAACAUUUUAUGGAUAUCUCGAUAAUUGAUCAGGGUAACCCGGAGAAAGCAUCCUCAGUUGUCACGUGUGUACCACGUGGGAGAGGAUAAACAUGACACGUCCAGAUACAACAAUUACUGUAUCACGUCCGGUGAUUGCUAAAAUAUCUCCAUUCAUCUUUGUCAGAGUUUGGAAAUGAUUUAUCUCCCUCGGUAUGGAGUUUGUGUUACCAUUAUCCACAAGGCAUAAUUCUUCUUCCAUCAGUUUGUGUUAGUUGGAAGUUUCUCACGUUUACAUGAGAAAACCAUGGAAGAAUGGAAAAGAAUAAAUGACUAAUUGAGUUGGAAAUUAAUUAAUAAUUCAAGUCUCAGUGACAAGAAUGUUUUGCAUCUAAGUUUCGUAUAUCUUCCAACACAGUUGAAAAGUUGUUUCUUGUGUUGUAGCUUAUUUCCAGAAGAGUAUAGUUUCAAAAGGAAACAACUUGUACUGUUAUGGAUAGCCGAGGGCUUCGUCGUGGAGAGGGCGGAAGCAAAUUAGGAGAAGUCAACUGGCUGAAGGAGUUGAUUGACAUAAACAUGCUACAACUUGUUGAGAGAAACACAUUUGGUAGGAUGAGGAGAUUCAAAACACAUGAUACAUUAUGUGAAUUGGCGGUGUACUUGUGCCAGAAGAACUAUUUUGGUGUUACUUGUGACGGUAGAUGUGGGGGGUCUCUUGAGAUGGAUGGACGACGCUUGGUACUCCACAAACUAAAGAUAGAUAAUCAUCAGCACUUUGUGGCAUACGCCAUCUUUGUAUGGUAAUUACACUGGACAAUAGCAUGCUAUUGAGGGUCGAGGCCCUUCUUAUGCAACACCUCCUCCAGGAAAUCCCAUCUAACCCGGUCCUAUGCCUUCUCAAAGUCGAUAUUCAGAGUGAACACUUCCUCUGCGAGGCACAUAAAAAUCACGCGGAUCAAGAAUUCGGUGCAACAGAGGCUACCAAACAAGCUAAAGCUGCAUUGCGUGGGCCUGACUGGAUAAUUCGGUUUGCGUGCAUCCGCACAAACUAGGCACGCGGAUAGAUUUUAGAAGAGAAGCACAGAACAUGGUAGGAUGCAGCCUGUUGGUCCUGUCUACUCUAGGUAGGAGGUACACGCAUCGGCAUGCAACAGCUAGCUCACCCUGAAAACCCUCGUGGACACGCCGUAUACCUAGCUAGACGAUGCGACCCGCCGAGUAGUUUCCGGCGAGGUGCGCUCCAAGCUACCAGAGACUGGAUCAACGACGGAACAAACACACACACACAUGCAGGGGAAUCGAUCCAACGUGCAGCCGUAUGGUAGCUAGUACAGGUACAGCACGGUAUUGGAAGUAAUACACAAAUAAGUCAGGCAAUGGUUUCCUCUCGUAGCACCAGCUGCCUCAUCCUCCUUGUGUUGGUCGUCUUCAUGGCUUCCUUCGUUGAUCCGCUGCAGGCAGCCAAAACCACGGCCCACUGGGUUAACCCUGUUGCCAAGAUGGCUUACACCGUCGUUGCUCGCGCUUCUUCUUCCUCUGCCGGGGGCGGCGGCGGCGGUGGCGGGCGGCGGCUCCUAAAGUUCUCCGCAUUUGGAAGCUAAGCGUUAGCAUAGAUAGCUAUGCCCAGCGACUAAUCCUACUUCUCUUCAGCUCGAUGGUAACCAGCCUGCCUGCGUGUGCCCUUUCGUCCAUUUGUAAUUUCUUUAUGUGUUGCUUACUACUACUACGUACCUGUGAUUUUUUCUUGUAAUCUUUAUUCGCGUUUCACAUACCCGUUCACAAUUUGUGCUUGUAAUUUUUACUAUUUGUGUGAUUUGAAUUGCCGUGUUUAAUAAAUUAUUAUCAUAACAGCGUUACACCAUUUUCUAUUGUUUUUCCUUUUCGUAUAAGAGAGAGGAGUAAAUUGCAAAUCUACCACUUUUGGUGCUACCGGUCCAAAAAAAAAAACCCAGCACAAUACUAAAUUACUAAAACCUAACAAAAAGCUAUCACUUUUGGAGUAAUCCGUCUGAAACCGGUACCACUUUCUGUUGAGGACCUUUUUAACCGAUUUAAACCUGACUAUUAUGACAGACCUGACCCACCACAAGGUCAAAUCCGUCCCGUCGACUGUUACUGCUCUGGACAUCUGUGCGUGUUGUUUUCCUCUCUGGAUCGUCCCCCUUUGUUUGCUUGGGCAUGUGCGCACAUACACUUGGAUCAUCAUGAUAAUGUUGCAUACCUUAGCCACUACAGUAUACAAAAUACAUACAUGUCCUUAAUUUUGGGACAGAGUGGAAGAGGAAUUCAACAUAUAAAACUCUUACCGAAAAAUCGGUGAACUUUUUCUAAUUCGUGAGAUUUUUUCAAACAUGCGAACAGGUUUUCUAUUUCACAAAUUUUGAAAUGCUAAAAGAGCCGUUCUGGUUUUUUCUCACUGUGCCAACUCUGAGCUGGGGCUGGAAGCGCGAGUGAGCUGGGGCUGGGCUGGGCUGGGAAGCGAGUGAGCGAGCCGGGGAUAGGUGGAUUGGCCCAUUUGCGCGUGCAUGUGAGCGCCAGCUGCGGUUGCUAGCGCCACAAGCACCGAUUAGGAGCUCCCGCCCCCGACCCCCUCGGACCGUCCGUACAGCUAAUGGACCGUCUUGCCCUGCCCAGCGUGGCCGAGCCCCAUCCUUGCUCGCUGCGGGCUGCCGACCUCCGGCCCGGCCACCACCACGACGUAAGCCAGCCAACCUUGAUUUAUCCUUGCAAACCAUGAGCUCAAACUUAACUACCAAACUCGAACGAGAAUUUGCAAUUAGUAAAUCUGAACAGAUUUUUGUAAGCUUGAUCUAUUCCUAAACGGACCACAUGCAGGUCUUAAACCGAACUCCUGCUUGACGCAUGACAUGCAAGCCGUAUACUACUAGUACACCUGAUUUACCUAAUAUGACCUGAAAGCCUGGCCUUCCUCAAGGAGAUGUGGCUACAGGUGUUGGUAUCUAUAUUUCUCUUCCCUCGGAGCAGGGAGAAAUUAAUAUUCAAAUUCAGGCCUCCGCUUCCUCUAUAUCCACUCCUUUGCAGGCUGAAUCUAUUGCUCUUGUUUCUGCUGCUAAUAUAACUUCUUAGCUCAAUAUUAUGCAUGCCACUUUUCUAACUGACUGUCUUACUCUUGCUAAAUAUGCUCCUUUAGCCAACAUCUUGGAUCCCUCUAUUCCUUGAAAUAUCAGAAAAGAUCUUGCCAAUUUUUUCAAACAUUCUGCAGCUCUUAAUCCUAAAGUGUUUCAUAUUGCUAGAGAAGUUAAUGGAGUUGCCCAUAACCAUGCUCACCAGGUUUUCAGAGCGAAUAGGGAUACUCAGAUUUGUUGCUUUGCUCGUAAUCACUCUUCUAAUUCUUGCAAUGUUGUAUCCCUUCUUUCUAAUUUUCAAAUUCCUGCUAUUAAGAUUCACACAGUGCAGUGUUACUAGCUCUUUGUUUCUCGGUUGUCUAUUUCUUCUCUGUUCAAGAUACUCUGCUUCAUUUGUUUGUGUAGUAUUUCAGUUGCAGGGAUGGACUUCUUCAGGUGCAUGGAGACUUGCUGGUGAAUCUGCAGGCUAAGCCAACGAUUUUGGAGCUCGGCAUGACUACUAUCUCUAUGUUUUGAGUUCUCUAUCUUCUUCAGAACUUGAUGCAAGCUAUUGGAGCCCAAUUUCACUCUGAAGCUGUUGGUCCGGCUGCUCUUGGUGUUGUUUCCAUGGUGUAUCUAUGCUCUUUGAGUAGCAGAAGGGCAGUUCAUGUCAUCUUCUUCUUUAGGCUGCCUUAUCAUGUUUAGUCAUGUGGUUCAUCAGAAGGGAUUAUGCUCCCUUGAUGUCUUCUCCGACUUCUAUUCCGCUCUUCUUUCUCAGAUUCUGUAGUCUAUUUUUCUCUUUCUUGUAAGCAGUUAAUCAUGAUGUACACUGAAUUUGAGCUGAAUAUAUUGGCACUUGUUGGUGCCUUUCUCUGUUAAAAAAAAAACUAAUCUGACUGAAUCCUAGAAGAACUAGUACUCUUUGCAAACCAUGACAUGGACUGCUACUAGUACACGUGUGCACGCAUGAACAUGUAAUAACCAUAACUCAUGUAACCAAAGCUCACAUGUAACGAAACUCAAGAUUACCGCUAACAGAACUCGCAUAUCAGUGCCUGUCUUCUCUUCCCCUGCCUCAUUUGUCACCACUUCCACACCCAUGAAAACACGAUGCCAGUGUCUGUCCUCUCUUCCCCUGCCUCCGGUAAGGCCUCCAAAUCCAGCGUCAUAUCCCAGUACGUCAUUGGACAGGCCAUGCAAAAUAUUUUCCGCUUCGCUGGCAAAGGCUUGCAAAAACAAUUAUUUUUUGCGGAAAUUGCGAAAGCAAAUUUGGAACGCUGCAAAUGUUGAUUAUCGACAUCACAUUCUUUUGCGCACACCUCUCUUGUGCUGAUUUAAUCACAAAGGAUGAAGGGCAACGUAAGAGAACUCAGCCUUUUUGCACCAUCCAAGAUCAGCUACUUGUCAACUUAAUUGCAGGCCUGUUCAACAUUUCAGAUAGGAAUCUAGCAUAGCAAAAGAUUUCAAUAGUAGUUUGUGAGGGACGCGUACUGAUAGUAAUCGUAGGGUAUUUUAUAUUGUACUGAAGUUAGUAUAGUAGAUGGUACCUGAGUACCUGACCCGUCUCUUGUCCUGGCCGGCCGUGGUUCUGGUGCUAGAAAAAAUCAUGCACAUGAUUCGCUGCUGUCCUUAGUUUUCAUGAGUGUUCUUUAGUCAUGAGUGCCUGAGUCAAGACGUUUCGUGAAAAUAUUUGUUGCUACAUUUUGUUGGUCACUGAAAAUGACAUGCGACAAUGACAUUUAUCGAUUUUUAAAAGUGGAGUUAGGAAGAUAAUAGAGACCAGUUAUGCGGUAGCUAGGGCCUCAGCACUUAUAUUUGCCUAAGGCUCUGUCGGCAUUUCGUAUUGUUUCCUAAGCAGAAACCUAUAUCUAGAUCAGUAGAUGCCUCUCAUGUUUAUUAAUGUCCGUCGGCCCUUUUGCCACGGUUGUUGCACUAAAUAAUUAUUAAGCUCAUGCAGUGUAAACAAGCCGGAUUAUACAUAAACAGAAUUGCACAACAAAGGGGCCAAACUCUCUAGAGAAUAUCCCCACACAAAGGAAAAAAGAAUACUCUGUGGAGAAUAUAGUAACCUGUUAAAGGGAAGAUGUUAUCAAAGCACAGGUAAUAUUUAAUGUGCAAUUUUGUCUUACAGGGAAAAAGAAGAAAUCAACCGAGUGCUUCCAUUCUAGCCGGCCGAAGACCAAGUAUUGCCUUGAUUGUUAGAGAGUAAGAUAGUGUUGACUGUUGACUGGGGAGUAAUGUGUUGUGACUACUGAAAGCAACUUGGCCGGCCGGUGCAGAAAUCAACAGAAAAUAUGUUAUUGUUUCCAUGUGAGCUAGCGAUUGUGACCAGUUGCUGAUAUAUACAGUAUAAGGGAAGGGCACUAACCAAGUUGAUCAUCUGCGAGAAGAACAACGUUAACAACAACAAGAAGCAGCUAUAGCCAGCCAUGAACAUCAUCCUGCCCCUCCUGCUCAGUGGGCUCGCACCGUUCCUGGCGGCUGCAGAUGUAUUCUGCGACAAUCUCAAAGUAGUCGCCACCACCCUUCCCAAUAACACAUCCUCCUCUCCAGUACACAUGGGCACGGCCACCGUCGGCAAAGCCCCCGACACGGUCUACGCUCUCGCGCUCUGCCGUGACCCUGUCCUCAACGACUCCGACUGCACCGACUGCAUCGUCGAGACGUUCGAAACUAUUCUGAACUCUACGCCACCGACACAGGAGCAGUGCUUCAAGGAGGCCUACUACGAUGGCGGCUGUACCAUCAUCUACUCCGACCACAUCCUGGGGCCCUCCGAUACCACGGGAGGAAAAGACGACGUGAUAUUUCAGAGUUGGAACGUCAAGAAUGUCACCGCCGGUGGUGACGCGAACCAAGUCGACCUCAUUACUGGCCACAUUCGCGACCUUCUGGUAGGGACUGCGGAAAAGGCGGCUAGCAUGACGCCGAUGCGGUUCGCCACUGGCGUCACUUACACCGGCACGAACUUUCCGUUGGUGUACUCCUUAGCGCAGUGCACGCCGGACCUGUCCCCCGGCGACUGUUUGUCGUGCCUCCAUCUUCUCCUAGACCAGCUCAACUUCAGCAUCUCUCUACAUAUUGGUGGACGGAUGGGUGUCACCCGAUGUUAUUUCAGGUAUGAGGCGUAUAAGUUCUACUACGGAGAACCCACGCUGUUGCCAUCGUCGCCGCCGCCAGCUCCGACUCCGAAAAAGGCCCCCAAACACAGGGGUAAGAACCGAUGCAUGGUUGCUCGCAUAAUUUUGCAUGAGAGCUAAGCUAACGUUGUUUUAUUCGCCGGCGAACACCCGACUUAACUCUCCUGUCAUCAUGUUCACAAAAGGUCAUAUAAGCAAGCUGUUGGCGAUUCCCAUAGUCUUGGCUCCUCUAGCAGCAGCAGCUUUUCUCUGCUUCAACUUUUUCUAUCGUCGACUCACUAGACAAAGAAGAGGUAUAUAGGGUUCUUAGUUACUGGUUAUAUUGUUUAAAUCAUUUCCAGUAAUACCAAUAUUAAUUAGAAUAAACAUAACUAAAAAGAGAUUACACCACCUCUCAAUCAUAUCUUUAUUUACGAAAUGUAAAUUCCCUGUUAAAUUUAUGCUCUGUACAGUGAUGAGAUUACAAGAAACAAGAUGUGUUCAGAAUUUGGAGGGAGACGAACAACUAGUUUGGCAAGGGAAGAAUUCAGAGUUAUUGGUGUUUCGAUUUGAGCAGCUACUGGAUGCCACAAAUAAUUUUUCAGAAGAGAACAAACUUGGACAAGGUGGCUUCGGUGCUGUCUACAAGGUAACUUAGUAUGUGCGUAUUGGAUUUUCAUCAUUUGUUGGGAACAAUUGAAUAGCCUAACAUGAUUGUACGGAUUGGAGUUAUCAUAUUUGUUAUAUAAUGGGCCCUUUUAUUUGUACAACGAGCUAAUCAAUAGUACAAGUUGUGUGGCCUCUGCAACAACAUGGUGGCAAAGCAUUGAGGGUACAGGCAACCAAAAUGCCUGACCAAACCCAAAAGUUUAAAAGGAAAAAAAGAUCAUUGCCCAAAACAGUCAUGUUAAAGAUCACUGUCACCUGUGAACCAAUCUGUGGUUGGAUGGUUAGAGGGACGGUGGUAUCCUCAGCCCACCAGGGUUGAAGUCCUGGUGCUCGCAUUAUUCCUGAAUUUAUUUCAUGAUUUCCAGCUAUGCGCUUUCAGUGGGAGGAGACUUUCCCGUCAAGGACGAGGCGCCUACGGUGACUUCGUAAAUAUCAAGAUUAUAUGCCAGCUCAGUCUCUCGUGGGUGCUCAUAGGGGUAGGGUGUGCAUGUGUGCGUUCAUAAGGGUGAGUGUAUGCCCGUAUGUAUGAGCACUUACGUCUGUACUCUGUUAAAAAAAGAUGACUAUCACCUAAAACAUGCUUGGCUCAUGGAAAAACUACAAUUCCCACAGCAAACAUGAAGAAGCAAUGCCAGUCAACACCAAUCUUGCAAAACUACAAAAGUAAUUUGCAGCCCUACAUUCUUCUUAGCACCGGAGCCUAGCAUUUGCAAAUAGAGAGGAGGACUAGUGUUUAAAUUAGGAAGAGUCUAACUUUUCAAGGUAUUUUUUCCCAGGGUAAGCUUCCUGAGGGCUUGGGGAUAGCGGUUAAAAGGCUUGCUUCUCAUUCAGGCCAAGGAUUCAUAGAGUUCAAAAACGAGGUACAGUUCAUAGCCAAACUCCAACAUAGGAAUCUGGUUAAACUAUUGGGAUGUUGCUCCGAAGAACCUGAGAAAAUAUUGGUCUAUGAAUAUUUACCAAACAAAAGUUUGGACUUCUUCAUAUUCGGUAUGCACUUGGAUUUCUUCCUUUAUUUUACAUAUUGUUUGUUGACAAAUCGGAAUUCCAUUUAUUCACUUUAGUUGCGCAUCUUAUAGUCCCAUGAGUAUUGUUUCAUAUUCUACACAAUUGGCCUGUAAAAUCAUUUGUACUCGGUAAGGUGUUUUCCCUUGUCAUAUUUAUGUCUAAUUGAUGUGCAGAAGAAAAAAGAAGAGCUUUAUUGGACUGGUCCAAACUUUUAACAAUAAUUGAAGGAAUAGCUCAUGGACUUCUCUACCUACAUAAGCACUCCCGGUUGCGUGUCAUACAUCGAGAUCUAAAACCAAGCAACAUCCUCUUGGACAACGAAAUGAAUCCAAAAAUUUCAGAUUUUGGGCUAGCAAAAAUAUUCAGUUCAACAAACCCCGAUGGAAACACUACAAGGAGAGUGGUUGGUACAUAGUAUGUAUCAAGGAAAUAAAUUCAUUUAUAAACAUUGAUAUUAAAAUCCAAUCGUAUUCAAUAAUUUUGACAUGCAUCGUCUACCAUUUUAGUGGCUAUAUGGCUCCCGAGUAUGCUUCGAAGGGUGUCUUCUCUAUUAAAUCCGACAUCUUCAGCUUUGGUGUUGUUAUUCUCGAGAUCCUCAGCGGAAAACGAAAUUCUCGUCGCCAACAAUGUGGAGAUUACAUUAAUCUUCUUGGAUACGUGAGCUUUUACACAUACCUCAAUUAAGCAUGUGAAGCUAAAUAUUAUUUUCAGCUGCUUCACAACUGGUGUUGUGUUAUUACAAUGGAAACAGGCAUGGAAAUUAUGGGACGAGGGAAGGUGGAUUGAUCUUGUUGAUGCAUCAUUGGUUCCCAAGAGUCAAUCACAGAAGAUGAUGAGGUGCAUUAACAUAGCAUUACUGUGUACGCAAGAAAAUGCAUCUGAUCGACCAACCAUGUCAGAUAUUGUUGCAAUGUUAAGUAGUGAGAGUAUGAUCAUUGCUAAGCCUAAGCAACCUGCAUAUUUCAAUGUAAGGGUGGGAGCUGAAGAGCCAUCCGCUGCUCUUGAGUCAUGCAGUAUUAAUAGUAUGACGAUAUCUAUCACAAUGCCAAGAUAGUGUUUUCCCCAUACAUUAUGUGGCUUUUACUCCACUAAUAUAGUAUUCAUGCUACCCUCAUUGUAUAGUUAGUAAGAUAAGGUGGUGUUCCAAAUGUGAGAUUAUUAACUUAAAUAGUACUUUUACCUAAAGAUUUGAAUUAUGGUUCUUUGUUUUCCUUGUUACCUUUGAUUUUAUAUCUAAAACAUUUCAUUCACAUUUUGGAUAGUGAACAUAGAAACAUGAUGAACAAUUAUAGAUGGUGAGUUAGUGACAAAUUUAUUUUUCUGAAGGGAAUAUUAGAACCACAUGAUGAUUAAAUCCAGCUUGAGAAUGUAUUUCUAUCUUUAGAAAAACAUGUGAAAUGACCAUUUUUCUAUUAUUUAAUCAAACGUGUUCACAUCUCAUAACCUUUUUAGAAGAUGGCAACAUGAUAACAUACACUACCAUAGCUGAACUAGCAAAUGAGCAGAUCGUUUUUGUAUGAACCUUUUGAUUCGAUGAUACUUAAAACAAUUGUGUUGAGAAACAUAGCUGAAAAAGAAAAAUCAUGCCUACAAAUCAUCCCAGGCAACGGUCCUGCUUGGGUUUUCGAGAUCUGCACUUUUUCAAUCUUGCAAUGUUGGGAAAGCAUGGCUGGCGCCUUAUGACUAAACCCGAGUCUUUGUCUGCAAGUGUGUUGAAAGGAAAAUAUUACCCUCAUAUAGACUUCCAGUAGGCAAUGGUCCCUACUCGAUCGCCGGCAAACUGAAGGUAAUGUUGCUGUUUGGGACGCCCUGGAUGUGGGCCUGAUCCAUCGAGUGGGAGAUGGUACUAGCAUCUCAACAUGGAUGGAUAAUUAGAUUCCGAAUACUUCUUUGAAACCGAUCGGGUGGACAUGGACUAUUCCAUUGGAAAAAAAUUGGAUCUUAUUGAUAACUACACGGGUAACAGGGAUGUGGAUGUUAUUCGUGCAAAUUUCUUGCAACCGGAUGUGGAAGCAAUCCCGAACAUGCCAUUAAAUCCGGCCGGUGUAGAGGAUACUUUGGCUUGGGAUUUUCAGAGGUCGGGUGUCUAAUCUUUAAAAUGAGUUUAUCGCUCUCCGAUGUCUCGUAACAGGCGGAGCUCUCUAGAAGAAGAGACGAUUACAGAAUCUUCAACAGCAAGUAAACAUAUGUGGACUACUUUAUGGAAACUUAACGUGGUUCCAAACUUUCAGGUCUUUUGGUGUGGAGUACUUCGAGGUAUACUCCCAGAUUCCGUCAACUUGCAUUAUAGACGCAUUAAUCAUAUUGGCUAGUGUGACAUUUGCAAGGCUAUGGAUGAUGAUAUGAUGCAUGCGCAUGUCACCUACACGCAUGCAAAUAAGUUCUGGAUUACAACAAGGGAUCAAUUUCAGCUUCACCUCCCCCAGCUGCAUCCACACACUUGGGUUAGUGAUAUCUUGUUAGAUCUUAUGUUCACUCAAGAUGAAAAAUGCAGAUCAUCAGCAUUAUGCAUAUGAUAUGGUCGUCGCAACCGUCGCACGAAUGACCGUGAUGGAUAUGACCCUGCGCAAGCUAUCAAAUAGGUUUAUGAGACAGUACUGGCUAUUUUGGACAUGUCAUCUUCUUGGAAGAAGCUGGCACCCAACUAGAACUAUAGGCCGCAUGAUCCAUGGUGGGUCACUAUUAACGCUGAUGGGGCGUUAAUUGUUGAUGACACGAAGAGAGGGGGGAGAGUUGGCUUGAUCACACCUAGCAUUCCUUGGAGCUUGGAGCUUGGAUCUUGGAGGAAGCCUUUGUAAAGGUUUGUUGGGUCCAUUCAAAGCUGAAUCAUUAGCUCUUCAUGAUGGCAUGAUCUUUUCUCAACUUCAUGGCUGUUCACAUGUGAGGAUGGAGUUCACAACUUGGAUUUAGUGAAUGUAUGGAAAUCACGCGGCAACACAAGAUUGGAUGCACACACCUAUCUAGAGGGAUUUACGGGAGAUCGGAGCAACUUUUUCUUCUCUCUUGGUUACUCAUGUCUGUUGGGUGGCUAAUAUGCCAGCCCAUCAUUGUGCUCGUUUUGCCUGUACACUUGAUGCGACUAAGAGUUGGCCUAAUGCAAGCCCUGAGUUUCUUAUUUCUUGCCUGUGGGCGGACAGUAACCGUAUGUUAGUUCCUUAAUAAAGCUCCCUGCAAAAAAAACCGUUUUUUAGAAUUCAACAACGCAAAUGAAUUUGGACUAUUAAGGAAACUUUGUGCCCCCAUUGGGCCAUAGGACAUGCAUGCAUGCACGUGAGGGAUAUGUGUGGGCUGAUUUUGGGAAUCAGUCUAUGGUAGUUAGUAAAUGUGCUAGGAUUAGUGUUAUCUUAUUCUAGCACGUUAUUCCAAGCAGAAAACUGCUCACAGUGUGCAGGGCCGGCCCUAAGGGGGUGGCAGGGGUGCGCCGCCCAGGUCCCCCCAAAUCUAGGGGCCCCCUCCAGGGUUCGCAAGGAGCCCAUGGCCCAGACCAUAAGGAGGCAUCGACCUAGACGCACGGAGAAAUCCCUGUUUUCCUUCUUCCCGUCACGAGUUCGCCGCUUUGCAACGAUCCUAUUCCCCCGAGGGCCCCGAUCGCGAGUCGCGACGCCGAUGUAGAUCUCUCUCUGCCAUGCGGUCGGCUGGUCUUCCUCCAAGUCCCCGGUCCCGUUGUGUUGUCCCCCAUUCGUGAGAUGCAUCUCAUGUGCAAGACGAAGCCACCCCACUUAUAAGGUCAUCCCCAACCUCCUCUUUCUAGUUGGUCACGUUCAUAUGAUGCAGCAGCAGUCAGAUCUUAGAAGGUCUCGCAUAUGAUGCAGUACAAAAUUUUAAUUUUGUGUGCCCGUUGCUCUAUUUCUUACUUCAAUAUGGACUUUCUCGACACAACACCAAUCGCCUUAUCUAUUGAAAAAGUUGCCUGCUAUGUGUUCGACUGUCGUUCUUUGCAUUCUCUCUCGAAAUCAUCAUGACUGCAAAUUUAACUUAAAAAUUGGAAGAAGGUCUCAGCUAUACACACAUAACUUCAAUCCAAACAUGGUUAUAUAAUAAAGCCACUCAGACUCCCGUAGCAGUCGGGUAGGUAAAUGAGCUUUUAUUGUUGCAAAUGAAGCUUUUAAACUUUAAACCUUUCAUCUUGAUGUUUGCCCUCUAUCAGGUAUUCGAUUUGUCUAAUUAAGUAAAGGAAUACACUAUUUACAAUUUUCGUUUUAUUUUGGAACAAUAGACAAUAAUAAGUUAGGUAAAGGAAUGAAUCUAAAAAGAAAUGAGAUUAUUAUUUUGAUCUUUAUAGUAGGGGCCCCGGGUUGUAAUUUCGCCCUGGGCCCUCAAAAUAUCAGGACCGGCCUUGACAGUGUGCUUUGGUCCUGGUGAUUCGAUUUGCCCGCUGAAUAUGCCCAGACGGAGAGAGUACUUUAUAUGCAUUAUUAUUUACACUACUACAAAUCAACUACUACACCAAUGAAAUCUCUUGAGAUUCGUAUUACAAGUGCAUGUGCAAUUGAGAGUCAGGCCUCACCUAUUGCGGGUCUAUUGCUAUCUACUUGUUUCCAUGACAUCAAAAAUAAAAUUUUGGUUCAUAUAUACUCUAGAAACUGCAUCAAUAUCUUGUAGUUGUGGGUCUAAUUUGGUCAAACUGAGUAAUGGUGACUGGUUCUUCAUUGCCUUCCACUAAAUUUAAGUAUGCUGGGUGCUUAGGCUCAGGUAGGAACAUAUGUUUGUUACUGAGCAUUGCAACAACAUCCAAUGUUGUUGGUCGGUCAACUGCACUCUCUUGUACGCAUAAUAGUGCAAUAUUAAUGCACCUCGUCAUUUCACCUGAGUGACACUGCGGGAGCAACGAUGCAUCAAUCAGUUCGAUCCAUCUUCCUUCUUCCCAUCGAUGCCAAGCCUAAUUUAAAUUUCAUCACAUAGCCAUGUAGGAAAUAAAAUAAUGAAGCAAUAUUUUUCUUGAUAUAUGGGUGUCAAUUAACUCACAUAUGCAAGUAUAUUGAUAAAAUCUUUGCAUUGACAGCCACUGAAAUUUCUUUUCCCGCUAAGGAUCUCAAGAGUCAGAACACCGAAGCUAAAUACAUCAGAUUUGAUAGAGAAGAGCCCUUCAGAAGCAUACUCUGGAGCCAUGUAGCCACUAAAAUUAUGCGAUGAUAUAUGUUCAGUUAGUAGAUGUUUGAUUUAUGAUAUAAUGUUCAGAAGUGAACUAAUUGAACUAAUUGAUCGUAAACUUACUGUGUACCAACCACUCUUCUUGUAGUGUUUUCUUCGCUAUCAUUUGAGCUGAAUAUUUUUGCUAUUCCGAAAUCAGAAAUUUUUGGAUUCAUUUCGUUGUCCAAUAGAAUGUUGCUUGGUUUAAGGUCUCUAUGUAUGACACGCAGCCGAGAGUGCUUAUGUAGAUAAACAAGUCCUUCGGCUACUCCUUCAAUUAUUGCGAGACGUUUCUUCCAAUCCAAUAAAUCUUUUGUAUUUUCAUCUAUGCAUGAAUUAAGCAUUAGUAUAAUGGAAGAAGGAACAUCUUAUGAAACAGUCAAAAGCUAGAGAACUAAGUUAUCUUGGAAGCACAAUAAUGCAUAUGCUUUUGAUGUAAACAAUGUUCUUAGAUGUUCUCACCAUUUUUUAGGCAUGAUUGUCAUUAAAGUAUCUCACCUAUUAUGAAUUUCAAAGUGCAAAUACGUACCAAAGAUGAAGAAGUCCAAGCUUUUGUUUGGCAUGUAUUCAUAUACCAGUAUUUUCUCAUCUCCUUCUGAGCAACAUCCCAACAGCCUAACCAAAUUCCUGUGUUGAAGUUUGGCUAUGAGUUGAACUUCAUUUUUAAACUCCUCAAAACCUUGUACUGAAUGAGAAGCAAGUCUCUUAACUGCUAUUUCCAUCUCCGCAGCAAAGUGGCCCUGAGAGGAAAAGAUGUUUAGUGAUACUGAGGUGUAGUUGGGUUUACUUUAAAUAUAAAAGAAUAGUUCACAAUACAUGAAAUCAAUUUUACCACAUUUGAUCAACAUUCUUCCUCUUAUUUACUGCUUGUAAAUACGACAAGGUUAUCUUGUGAAGCUCAUAUAUUUUCUUUGUUAUGAUCUACUUCCAAAAGUUGACAGAUAUAUAUAACGCAUUAUAAAUUGAUGAUUACAUAAAGGCAUUAUAUUUACAUAUGGAGAGGCUACACAUGGAACUCGGUUUAUACCAUAAGUCGAUUUUAUUUGCACCUUUAUCAAAUCUUAUUUAAUUUCCAAUAAUCAUAUUUUAGAAGUUGUAGAUAUCAUUUUCACUAAAUUAUGGUGUCAUGAUCAGACAGUCCUAGGAUCAGAAAUAUCAUCUCCGUUCCGAAUUAUAAGACGUUUUGGAUAUUUCAGCAUGGACUACAUACAAACUGAAAUGAGGGAAUAAACGCACUAAAAUGGGUCUAUAUACAUUAUAUUCAAAAAAUAAAUAAAAUAGAACAUCUUAUAAUUCGGAACGGCGGGAGUAGCACAUACUCCCUCUGUAAACUAAUAUAAGAGCUUUUAGAAUACUAUUUAAUAUAAGAAACGCUCGUAUAUUAGUUUACGGAGGAAGUAUUAUUUAUGUAGUGCACCUUAUAUACAGGACCAAAUCCACCUUCUCCAAGUUUGUUUUCUUCGGAAAAGUUAUUUGUAGCCUGCAAUAUCUGAUGAAAGUCCAAGACCAAAAACUCAGGGAACUCUGCUUCCAUUUCCCAAACUAGCACGUCUCCUGCUUGCAACGUGUGCGUUGGCUUUUCUGGUAAUCUCAGUUUACCUGAAAGUUUCAGAAUUAAAGCAAUCGAUCUCUUUAAUUAUGGCUCGUCCAUAGUUGCGGCCUAUACGUUUUGAUGGGUAUUUCAUUAACAUAAUCAACUCACCUUUUCUGUUUCUUCUGAGACGGCGGUAGUAAACAAUGAAGUAGAAAGCAACUAGUCCAACAAGUGCAGCUACACAUAUGGCAAUUAUCCACGGUGCGAUUCCUUUCCCUUUAAUAAAAUUAUUAAAAAUAUUUGGUGAGUAAUCAGUUGGUCUUUUUUUCACGAUCCAUUCAUUUGUUUAGACACGCAUCUUGAUGGGAGCAUAAACCAAAUCAAUUCAAAGGAGGUGUUGAUCACAUGCUCUUGCCUGUCGAAGAUGGAGAUGGAGCGAUCUGCCGCAUGGGUUUGCCUUCGUAGAACCAAAACGACUCGAACCUGAUGUUGCAGCGCAGCACGAGGAUCCGCCCUCCCUUGCGCACCGACGUGGUGGCGUUGACCAUGCCGAUGAUCCGCUGGAGGCACGCCAGGCAAUCGUCGGCGGACAGGUCCGGCGUGCACUGUGCCAGGGAGUAGAGCUUCUCGGUGGUGGGGCCAAUUGGGUCCAUGACCGCGGUGGCGAACCGUCUCUCCGUGGCAGCCGCGUCAUCCACCGUCCCCGCCAGCAAGUCGUGGAUGGCGGCGGUGACGAUGCCAGCGUCGCCAGAGAUGAUGUCCCCCUUCCAAGAUUCGACGAGCGUGCCGUUCUCGGUGAUAUUGGGUGGGGUGAGGAAGUCAUCGCUCGAGAAGCUUAGGACGCAGUCGUCGUAGUAGAUGGUCGCGCGCUGGAUAUUCGUCGGGCACGUCUGGAACGAUGCCGCGAUGCAGCCUCUACACGCGGUGGCGUUGAUGUCGCCGCGGCAGAGCGCGAGCCCGUAGACCACGUCGGGGGCUUGGCCGGCGGUUGCGGUGGCGAAGAGUCGCGAGGAGGAGAAGGCGUUGCUUGGGAGAGUGUCGGCGAGGAUGGCAAGGUUAGACUGGUAGGUACUGCUGGCCGUGUCGUUGCCGCAGAGCUGCGCCGUCGCCGUUACCGACGACGGCAUGAGGAGCAGGAGCAGGACGACACCCAGCAUGCUCAGCUAACCGCGACACAGGAACGCGCGCUUUCUUCCUGGCCUAAUUGGCUUUCACUUGGAAAAAUUCCAUGUCGACGCUUUCACUUGGGAGUUUAAUACUGAGUGGCUGCCGGCCGGCGAGUUGUCUUCGGACGGGACCGGGAGUCCACAACUUUGAAACCAUCCACCACGUACGGCGUCACCAGUUUCCUUUUUCUUUUCUGAUAUUUAUAAUGUAGCACGAGUGAUACACGUACAAUGAGCAUAAUAUCUUGCUUUUGCGUAACUAAGAUGCACACAGCCAACGAUACAACACAUGCACAUAAGGAUCAAACUGACAAAGAGCAAAGUUAUAUAACCAAAGCUAUAUAUACCUAGAUGGAAAGAAAAAAACUGAAGCGAUCCGAACAGCGAUUGCCAUCAUAGAUCGACACCGACCAUCGUUUGACAACAGAAGAAACUAUGACAAGGGUUCUUCAAAAGAAAUGUGUUCAAGAAGGAAAUGGCACAUAAGUGUCGCCCUCGCCAGAUCCUCCACCGGAGAUGAGAUCGAAGGUUUUCAACCUAAAGUUCAAGUCCGAGCCAACUUGAAGAAAUACCUUCAACUCGAUGUAGAUGCCAAAAAAAAGCCCCGCGUCGUGCGCCUGGGCAACACGGCGGCCAACUGAUCCUUUUUUUGGCGGCCCUCUUCCCAAGUGUCCCCUCCUCGCCGCUGCAGGGAGUCCAUGCCUGGGAUGACCAUGGGGCCGACAAUGGCAGCGGGGCUUCGUUCUUGCUGCUGUUCGACAAUCUUUGGCAAUGCACAUGCGACGGUGUAACCCCAAUGAUGUGGCUAUGGCGUCAACAGUUCGUGGCUCGGCAGGGGCAGCACAUGCCUUAGAGCAUGGUUAAUAAUAUAGCCAGCUGAUGACUAUAAUAUGUUAUCAUGUGAUCUAUAGCAAAUGUAAUAGUCAACCGUGUAAUAGUUAACUAUAAGCAAUUACUACUACCAUCCCUCCAUAAUAUUAGAACGUUUUUUAAGCUAACAUAGCUUGAAAAACAUUCAUAUAUUAUGAGACGAAGGGAGUAUUUUAUUAAUAUAUGACCCACCUUUCAUUCUCAUAUAGCUUCUUGGAGCUUGUGCUAGACCCAACUUUAAGUCUACAACCCGCUUCUUUUUUCUCUCAUCUCCCCUCUCUUCCAACCCAUCAACAAUAUAAUAAUUAAAUCCUUAUUGCCCGUUUACAUCAUCUUAUUAUACUUGCUCUUACUAAUCCCUGAUAGCGUCGGCUUGUAGGAGGUUCCUAAGUGGCAGAGGGAAGGGAAGUGAUCCGGCAUGGCCACCAAGUCCUGGAUCUAGAGAACCUGCUCAUCAAGCCGGGGGUACACCAAAAUAUUUAUAUCAAACACAAUAAAAUAUUUAAAGCCAUGGUUCACAAAGAAAAACCAAAUUGUGGGGCCAACAAAGUGAUCCCAUUCCGUCCGGCCCGUCCGUGACCCCAUUCCGUCCGGCCCGUCCGUUUGGGGCAAAACAGACAGACCCCACGGCCCAGUGCGUGACGGCCUGGACCCAUCUUGUCCGUUUUGUGUCCGGCCCGACCCAUUUCGAGCGAAACCAUGCGCCCGAUUUGGGUCUAGGCAGACAGCGAAUGGACGCGCCGCUCGUCCGCAUCGGGGCCGCGUAGCAGGCGGCCACCUACCUCCCACCACCCAACAUAAAUGUGCACGCGCGGUCGGCCGUACCUGUCAUCCGCCCAGGCAUGCGGUAGGUGUCCUUCUUAAAUGGGAAGUUGUGGACCGGUCGCAGUCCACGCUCCCACUUCAGUCGCCGCGGCCUCCUCAAAACCUGACACCCAAACCCUAGCUCUCCCUUCCCCUUCCUCGAGCUCGCCGGCCACCGACAGCCAUGGUGUGGUGGAACACCGGCCACAAGGGGGCGCACGACCACGAGGCUGGCUCGUCCUCGGGUCGCCGCCGCUGCGACGUCAAAGCAGAGGCCGCAUCACCCCCACGGCAUGCCUCACGGAGGGCCCCCGCGCCUGCCCCAUUCACCAUUGACCCUAAGGCCGGCGGCGAGCGCGCCCGACAGUACAUCCUGCUACUUCUUGAGUUUGCAUUGGUUUUUCCCUUGAAGAGAAAAGGGUGAUGCAACAAAGUAGAGUAAGUAUUUCCCUAAGCUUUUGAGAACCAAGGCAUCAAUCCAGUAGGAGACAACGCUCAAGUCAUCGAAUACCUGCACAAACGAAUACCAACCUUGCACCCAAUGCGAUAAAGGGGUUGUCAAUCCCUUCACGGUUAUUUGCAACGUGAGAUCUGAUAGAGAUGAUAAACAAUAAAGUAAUAUUUUUGGUAUUUUUGGUUUAUGAAACGGAAAGUAAAAGCUUGCAAAGUAAAGGAAAAAGGAAACUGAAAUUGUAGAUCGGAAACUUAUAUGAUGGAAAAUAGACCCGGAGGCCAUAGGUUUCACUAGAGGCUUCUCUCAAGAUAGGAAUUAUUACGGUGGGUGAACAAAUUACUGCCGAGCAAUUGAUAGAAAAGCGCAAAGUUAUGACGAUAUCUAAGGCAAUGAUCAUGAAUAUAGGCAUCACGUCUGUGUCAAGUAGAAUGAAACGAUUCUGCAUCUACUACUAUUACUCCACACAAUAACCGCUAUCCAGCAUGCAUCUAGAGUAUUAAGUUCAUAAAGAACGGAGUAACGCAUUAAGCAAGAUGACAUGAUGCAGAGGAAUUAACUCAAGCAAUAUGAUGAAAACCCCAUCUUUUUAUCCUCGAUGGCAACAAUACAAUACGUGCCUUGCUGCCCCUACUAUCACUGGGAAAGCACACCGCAAGAUAGAACCCAAAGCUAAGCACUUCUUCCAUUGCAAGCAAAACAAAUCUAGUUGGGCAAACCAAAUCGAUAGUUCGAAGAGACUUGCAAAGAUAUGGAAUCGUGCAUAUAAGAAUUCAGAGAAGAUUCAAAUAAUAUUCAUAGAUAAGCUGACCAUAAAUCUACAAUUCAUCGGAUCUCGGCAAACACACCACAAAAGAGUAUUACACCGAAUAGAUCUCCAAGAACAUCGAGGAGAACUUUGUAUUGAGAAUCAAAGAGAGAGAAGAAAUCAUCUAGCUACUAGCAAUGGACCCAUAGGUCUGUGGUAAACUACUCACGCUUCAUUGGAGAGGCAAUGGUGUUGAUGUAGAAGCCCUCGGUGAUCAAAUCCCCCUCCGGCAGGACGCCGGAAAAGGCCCCAAGAUGGGAUUUCACGGGUAAAGAAGGUUGCGGUGGCGGAAAAGUUGUUUCGUUGCUCCCCUGGAUGUUUUUGGCAUAUAAGAGUAUAUAUAGGAGGAAGAUCUAGGUCAGGAGAUCAACGAGGGGCCCACAAGGUCGGGGGGCACGCCCUCCACCCUUGUGGCCGCUUCGAGGCUCCUAUGACUUGCACUCCAAGUCUCCUGGGUGUCUUCUGGUCCAAGAAAAAUUAUCGCGAAAGUUUUAUUCCGUUUGGACUCCGUUUGUUAAUCCUUUUCUACGAAACUCUAAAACAAGGAAAAACAGAAACUGGCACUGGGCUCUAGGUUAAUAGGUUAGUCCCAGAAAUCAUAUAAAAUAGCAUAUUAAUGCAUAUAAAACAUUCAAAACAGAUAAUAUAAUAGCAUUGAACAAUCAAAAAGUGUAGAUAGGUUGGAGACGUAUCACAUCCAUGCGGAUGUUUGCCAUCGUUAUUGGGAGACGAGGACGCCGCUCCCCUGGAGCGACGUUCACCUCCCCAAUAACUGGCAUCUGUUUGCGGACCGGGUGGCGAUCCCGUCGGUCCCGACGAGCGGCCGUGUGCGCCGUGAGGAGAUCGAACACCGCCGCCGCCUCCUGCCAGACGACCUCUACUACGACCCCAGGUACGCCGUCGACUCCGCCCUCUGGGACACGUGGUUUCGGGACGAGCACGACACGCGGCGCGCGUCCUUCUUUCCUGACACCUCAUCGGGGCCGCGGCGGCCACGUGAGCGCCGCGCGCGUGCUUCGAGCCCUCCCCACGUGUGCGGGCGUACGCGGGUGCGCGACAUCACGCCGAUGCCGUCGCCGUCGCUUUCGCCCUUUCCGUCACCACCACCACCUCCUCGCAUGACAGAGGAUGAGGAGGCACAGCUCCUUCAACGUGUCAUGGAAGACUCCAUGAACACGCACGAUGAGCGCCAAUGGGAGGGCCUGGAGACCAUGAUUUCCCUCUCUGCAGCCGGCGACGUGGCCCUGCCGGAGCUGGAGAUGAGGGAGGAGGGGCUGGAGGAGUGAUACGUCUCCGUCGUAUCUACUUUUCCAAACAUUUUUUCUCUUGUUUUGGACUCUAACUUACAUGAUUUGAAUGGAACUAACCCGGACUGACGCUGUUUUCAGGAGAAUUGCCAUGAUGUUAUUUUAUGUGCAGAAAACAAAAGUUCUCGGAAUGACCUCAAACUCCACGGAAUAUCUUAUAAAAAAUAAUAAAAAAAUCCUCGCCAAAGAUGAAGACUAGGGAGCCCAUACCCUAUCCACGAGGGUGGGGGGUGCGCCCCCCUAGGGCGCGCCCCCUACCUCAUGGGCCCCCUGGAGAGUUUCCGACGCCAACUCCAACUCUGUAUAUUUGCUUUCGGGGAGAAAAAAAGAGAAGAGAAGAAAUCAUCACGUUUUACGACACGGAGCCUCCGCCAAGCCCUAAAAGCUCUCGGGAGGGCUGAUCUGAAGUCCGUUCGGGGCUCCGGAGAGGGGGAUUCAUCGCCGUCGUCAUCAUCAACCAUCCUCCAUCACCAAUUUCAUGAUGCUCAUCGCCGUGCGUGAGUAAUUCCAUCGUAGGCUUGCUGGACGGUGAUGGGUUGGAUGAGACGGUGAUGGGUUGGAUGAGAUCUAUCAUGUAAUCGAGUUAGUUUUGUUAGGGUUUGAUCCCUAGUAUCCAUUAUGUUCUGAGAUUGAUGUUGCUAUGACUUUGCUAUGCUUAAUGCUAGUCACUAGGGCCCGAGUGCCAUGAUUUCAGAUCUGAACCUAUUAUGUUUUCAUGAAUAUAUGUGAGUUAUUGAUCGUAUCUUGUAAGUCUAUAGUCACCUACUAUGUGUUAUGAUCCGGCAACCCCGAAGUGACAAUAAUCGGGACCACUCCCGUUGAUGACCUUAGUUUGAGGAGUUCAUGUAUUCACUAUGUGCUAAUGCUUUGUUCCGGUUCUCUAUUAAAAGGAGGCCUUAAUAUCCCUUAGUUUCCAUUAGGACCCCGCUGCCACGGGAUGGUCGGACAAAAGAUGUCAUGCAAGUUCUUUUCCAUAAGCAUGUAUGACUAUAUUCGGAAUACAUGCCUACAUUACAUUGAUGAAUUGGAGCUAGUUCUGUGUCACCCUAGGUUAUGACUGUUACAUGAUGAACCACAUCCGGCAUAAGUAUCCAUCACCGAUCCGAUGCCUACGAGCAUUCCAUCUACUGGUUUACGCUUAUUUACUUUUCGGUUGUUACUGUUACAAUCACUACAAAAUACCAAAAAAUAUUACUUUUGCUUUCAUUACUCUUUUGUUACCGUUACCACUACUAUCAUAUUACUGUGCUACUAAACACUUUGCUGCAGAUAUUAAGUUUCUAGGUGUGGUUGAAUUGACAACUCAGCUGCUAAUACUUGAGAAUAUUCUUUGGCUCCCCUUGUGACAAAUCAAUAAAUUUGGGUUGAAUACUCUACCCUCAAAAACUGUUGCGAUCCCCUAUACUUGUGGGUUAUCAAGACCUUUUUAUGGCGCCGUUGCCGGGGAGCAUAGCUCUAUUCUCAGAGUCACUUGGGAUUUAUAUCUGCUGGACACUAUGAGGAACUUGAAAGACGAGAAAACAAAAAUUUAUCCCUCAACUACGAGGGGAGGUAAGGAACUGCCAUCUAGCUCUGCACUUGAUUCACCUUCUGUUAUGAGUAAGCCUUGCGACACCUAAACCUGCUUCUGCUAUUCGUUCCGAUAUGUCGCAUGUUAUUGAUGAUGCCACUUCUGCUAUGCAUGAUACUUAUGAUGAAACUACUUCUAUGCUUGAAACUACUAUGCCCCUUCGUGAAUUUCUUGAUGAACAAAUUUCUAGGGCUAGAGAGAAAGAAAUUAUUGAAUCUGAUAAUAUUGAUGAAAAUGAUGACGAGGAUAGGCCUGUUAUUCCUAAAGGUUACAUUUUUGAUAAAGAGGCUUCAGCUGCUAUUUUAGCUUGCAACGAUAACGAUGAGAUUAGAAGGUUAAUAGCUAAAUGGAACAAAGAAUCACUUAGAGAUAAAAUGAGGCCUGAUCCUGCUUUUGCUACUUCACCUAUUUGUGUUCCCGAUAAGGAUUAUGAAUUCUCUGUUGAUCCUGAUAUAAUUACUUUCGUUGAAUCUGAUCCUUUCCAUGGCUAUGAAUCUGAAACUGUUGUGGCACAUCUUACUAAAUUAAAUGAUAUAGCCACCCUAUUCACUAAUGAUGAGAGAUCUCGCUACUUUUAUAUACUUAAAAUAUUUCCGUUCUCAUUAAAGGGUGAUGCUAAGAUAUGGUUUAAUUCUCUUGAUCCUGGUUGUGUGCGUAGUCCCUAGGAUAUGAUUUGUUACUUCUCUGCUAAAUAUUUCCCUGCUCAUAAGAAACAAGCUGCUUUAAAGGAAAUAUACAACUUUGUGCAAAUUAAAGAAGAGAUUCUCCCACAAGCUUGGGGUAGGCUUCUCAAGUUACUUAAUGCUUUUCCUGAUCAUCCUCUUAAGAAAAAUGAAAUAAUUGAUAUCUUUUAUAAUGGACUAACUGAUGCUUCCAGAGAUUACCUAGAUAGUUGUGCUGGUUCUCUUUUCAGGGAAAGAACACCGGAUGAAGCUGAAAUUUUAUUGAAUAAUAUGUUGACAAAUGAAAAUAAUUGGGCACCUACUAAGCCAGCUCCUGAGCCAGCUCCUGCUCCAAUUACUGAGCUUAUCCCUAAGCCAACUCCGAAGAAGAGAGGUGUUCUAUUUCUCAGUCCUGAAGAUAUGCAAGAAGCAAAGAAAUCUAUGAAAGAAAAAGGUAUUAAAGCUGAAGAUGUUAAUAAUUUACCUCCUAUUGAAGAAAUACAAGGUCUUAAUUUACCGCUUGUUGAAGAAACAUAUGAUCUUAAUCCUUUAUUUAUUGAAGAACCUCCUGAUCCCGAUAAACCGACACAGGUAGUAAAGGUAAAUUCUCUCUAUAGAUAUGAUAAAGCUGAAAUCCCUCCUACUAAAAUUGCUAGUCAGUGUUUGGAUGAGUUUGAUAACUUUAUGUUUAAGCAAGAAGAAUUCAAUGCUUAUUUUGGUAGACAAUUAAAACAAAAUGCUUAUAUGAUUAAACACUUGGGUGAUUAUAUGGCUAAUAUUAGAGGUGAACUAAAACUUGUUAGCAAACAUGCUUCUAUGGUUACCACUCAAGUAGAACAAGUACUUAAGGCUCAAAAAGAAUUGCUCGAUGAAAUGAAUAGUAAGAAAAAUGAUUUUGCUGUUAGAGUGGCUACUAGAACUGGUAGAAUGACUCAGGAACCUUUGUAUCUUGAAGGCCACCCUAAGAGAAUUGAGCAGGAUUCUCAGAGAAAUAAUAUUGAUGCUCCUAGUUCUUCCAAACGGAAGAAAAAGAAAAAUGAUAGGACUUUGCAAACUUCUGGUGAACCUAUUGCUGAACCACCUGAGAAUCCAAAUGAUAUAUCUAUUUCUGAUGCUGAAACACAAUCUGGUAAUGAAUAUGAACCUAGUGAAAAUGUUAAUGAUGAUGUUCAUGAUGAUGCUCAACCUAGUAAUGAUAAUGAUGUAGAGAUUGAACCUGUUGUUGAUCUUGAUAACCCACAAUCAAAGAAUCAACGUUAUGAUAAGAGAGACUUUGUUGCUAGGAAACAUAGUAAAGAAAGAGAACCAUGGGUUCAGAAACCCAUGCCUUUUCCUCCCAAACCAUCCAAGAAAAAGGAUGAUGAGGAUUUUGAGCGCUUUGCUGAAAUGAUUAGACCUAUCUUUUUACGUAUGCGAUUGACUGAUGUGCUCAAAACUAAUCCUUAUGCUAAAUAUAUGAAGGAUAUCAUUACUAAUAAUAGAAAGAUACCGGAAGCUGAAAUUACCACCAUUGUCGGUGUCAAAACCGGCGGAUCUCGGGUAGGGGGUCCCGAACUGUGCGUCUAGGCGGAUGGUAACAGGAGACAAGGGACACGAUGUUUUUACCCAGGUUCGGGCCCUCUCGAUGGAGGUAAAACCCUACUCCUGCUUGAUUAAUAUUGAUGAUAUGGGUAGUACAAGAGUAGAUCUACCACGAGAUCAAGGAGGCUAAACCCUAGAAGCUAGCCUAUGGUAUGAUUGUUGUUCGUCCUACGGACUAAAACCCUCCGGUUUAUAUAGACGCGGGAGAGGGCUAGGGUUACACAGAGUCGAUUACAAUGGUAGGAGAUCUACAUAUCCGUAUCGCCAAGCUUGCCUUCCAUGCCAAGGAAAGUCCCUUCCGGACACUGGACGAAGUCUUCAAUCUUGUAUCUUCAUAGUCCAGGAGUCCGGCCGAAGGUAUAGUCCGGCUAUCCGGACAUCCCCUAAUCCAGGACUCCCUCAGUAGACCCCGAACCAGGCUUCAAUGAUGACGAGUCCGGCGCGUAGAUUGUCUUUGGCAUUGCAAGGAGGGUUCUCCUCCAAAUUCCGUGUACCUGUUGACUAAUGUCCGGUUUCUUGUAAAUGUAGCGCUCCUUGGCUUCUACGCCCAAUAAGGGUCGUCUUCCACGUGUCAAACGAAUACGAAAAGUCAGGAUGUUUUCACAUUUACACCCCUAGCCGCGUAAAUGAGCCGCCUAUUUAAAGGGACGAGGAUUUAGAUCCAAACCACACCUUCUCCCCUUCGCGAGUAUUCAUCAGAGCGUAUCCGACAGAGGUCCAUUCCACCAUGGCCAGCCGUCGCAGCUCCUCCUCUCGCCCAGCCCUCAGCCUGGAGAUUGGGAGAGAUGCUCCAUCCCGCAUAGCGAGCUAGUGACGCUCCAGACCAAGGGAUUUCUCCCCCGGCCUAUAUGGUCCCGGUUUGAGCCGGACUUGCCACCUAUAAUGGCGGAGAGCAAGCGAAGAGCACCCCCAAUCCCUCCAAAGGAGAGCGGGUAUGCCUUAUCCCUUAUUUAAUAAGAGGGCUCGGAUUUCCAAUUCAUCCGUUUCUCCGGGGGCUCCUGGAGUUCUAUGGCCUCCAGCUGCACAAUCUCACGCCUGCCUCCAUAUUGCAUAUCGCGGGCUUCGUAGCCCUUUGCGAGCUGUUUUUGGGUGUCGAGACUCAUUUCGCGCUGUGGAAGAAGCUAUUCUGUCUUGUGCCCCGUUCUCAAAAGGGGUCAAUAUAUCAAGUGGGCGGAGCCGAAGUGUGGCGCAUCGCCGGGACCGGAUAUCUAUCCAGAACCCCAAAGAAGGCGUCCGAGGACUGGCCUUCGGAAUGGUUUUAUAUAGAGGACGUCCCGUUGUCGGAUCCUGUUCGGAUUGGCCUUCCUGAGUUCGACAGUGCUCCCCUGAAGAAGCGCAUAAGCUGGCGUCCACGGAGCCCUCAGAGGGAAAGUGACAAGGACGUUCUUUACCUGAUGGGCCGGAUAAGAUUGUUAGCUCAUUCCGGACUGACCAUGAUCGGGGUCAUGGACGCAUGCAUCAUGCGGGGGGUGCAACCGCUACAGUAUAGAGGCCACCCCAUGUGGGACUUCAACGGAGAGGACGACGCCACCCGCCACGGCCGUAAGGGGCCGGAAUCGGCUGCCACUCUAAUAAAGAUCUUGUUCGCUUUGUACAAGGGAGAAGGAGGAAUUUCUCCGCGUCAACCCAUAGGGUGGAUUUACUAUGUACAAUCCUCCAAGUUGGGUAAGUGGACACUUUUACUUGCCCAUCCGUUUUAUAUUCCCAUUGUUAAAUAUAUAGUCUAACGACUUCAAUGCAGGAACUGCGCCAGGCUGUUAAAGAACUAAACAGCCCUCCUCCACAACCCGAGGAUCCGGGACGGUCCCUCGACCCGGCCUCCCAAGAGGAUCUGGACUUAUCUGUGGAGCUGAUUGAUGGGGUGUUUCACCAAUUGAGCAAGGACAACGCCUUGGUGGCCAUUACGGUCGAUUACCCAGGGCUACUCCCAGCCUCACAGGUAACUGAGACCGAAGUCCCAGCACCUUGAAAAGGGAUCCAUCCUCGCAUGUUUUCGAUUUCGUAUAACAACCGUGGUUUGCAGGGGAGGUUCUUGAGAUGGGAGGCCGAGCCUGCGGCGACUAGCCAACGAGGGGCUGCAAGGCCCCGUGGGCUGAAAAGAAGUGCAGUCCGGACUGAGACGCCGGCGCAAAGGUAUAGCACGCCAUCUAAUUCCCAGGUGUUAUUCCUUCAAGGCAUAUUAACGCUCGUGCUUUCUUCAGGACAAAGAGACCUCGCCGGACUAUAUCCGGAGAGGUUGCCAAUCGCGCCUCCACCAGCCAGGCUCCAAAGCCUGGUCCAGAGGCGGAGGCGAGCACGAGGCGCGCACCGGACGCUCCUCCGACAGAGGAUGCGGACAGGCUGUCUGCCACCAAUUCCGAGGUGGAGAGUGCCAUGAACCACAGGCGUCGCCGGACAGUUUGUCGCGACGCUUGUUUCUCCUAAGAGGCAUUGGAUGCCUUCAAUUCGGGAGAUGCGUACCUCCGUGCCGCUCAAAAUGGUCUAGCUAGAGCCACGGAGCAAUAUGUAAAAGACAUACGGGUGAGAAAAUUUAAUGGUUAUAUAUAUCAGUAGCCCCCGAGACUUGAAACAGAUAUAUAUCAGUAGCCCCCGAGACUUGAAACAGUUAGAAUAACUGAUUUAAGGAUCAUUUAAUGCAGGUUCUUGCGGAAAAGAACACCCAACUGUCCCAGGAGCUAGAAGAGUGCAGAGCCCAACUUGAGGCCGCACUAGCCGCGGAAGGGGAGCCCAAGGAGACCCCCUCUGGUAAUAUACGCUUCGAAAGAUAAGUAUUUUGCGAAGUGCGGCGUGGGUGCAAAUCUGAUAAAUGAAAUUGCAGAUGGCACCGGAUUAAAUCCGGAAAAGCAACAACUCCUACGCCAGCUGAAGGCUGGUGAGAGCGUGCUGACAAAGGUGAGGCGGGAGAAGAACAAUCUCCAAGAUGCCAAUACCAAGCUGGGUGUUGAACUGAAGGAUGUUCGUGCCCAGCUGUCGCACUCCGUUAAGGAGAAACAACGGGUUCGACGCAGCAUAUUUAGUAAGUGCUUAAACGAACUUUGAAAAAAGAGUUCGGUGAGGAAGUCGACUAACAGAGUAAUGUCUGUAGAUAUGCUAACAGGUCGUCCUGCAGAGGAAAUGCCCGGUUCUACGGGUGACCUUCUUCCCGAGCUCUCACAACUGCACGAGCGAGUUCGGCAGGUGAUGCAAGGCGUCACCCAGGCCUUCUGGCCAUCCGUCUCCAUGCCCGAAGGCCUUGGAGAGCUUGCAGAGAAGCUGAAGGGAGCGCGGCGGCGCUUCCGAUUGUGGAAGAUAUCAGCCUGCCGUCAAGGCGCCAGGGAGGCCUGGGCCAUGGUGAAGACGCGGUACACGAAGGCUGACCCAAACCACAUGGCCGAGGUCGGACCUGUGGGGCCCGAUGGGAUGGAGAUCCCUGUGAGCUUAGUAUACGGCCAAGUAGAAUUGGCCGCAAAGUAUUCCCAACAGGACUGUAAACUAGACAGCCUAUUAGAUGGUAUUGAAGAGGAAUACAACCAGUCUGAUUGACUAUGUAAUUUUAAUUGACAUGUGUAAUGCCUUCUAGCUGGAUUUUAGAUCGUUUGUCAUGGCCGGCCUUUUCGCUUCAACCUCGGGACCUGACGGUCCGAGUGUGUCUGAAUACCCUUGCGGUUAUAUAAGAACCGGGGUAUGCAUGGAGACUAGGCAUAGGGGUCAUUAGUGCUUGAACAGACAAGUGCCCAACUAGUUAUGUUAUAUUACAUGGUUAGUAAGAAACAUCUUCCAGGUAGAAUAGUUCCGUUAGGGGUUCCUUUCCCUAGGAGGCAUGCCCUAAAGUGCAUGUCCAUUCUGCGAAAAGAGACGCAGGAAAAACAUCUGGGGGCGCGUAAAUAAAUAAGUGAAAAAUCAUCUUUAGUUCACCGACCGAAUAUUGCCUUAAGAACGCUAGCUUUGGGCUUCACCCAGUCUGAGGUACACAUCCGGCUGACCCGGUAGUAACAAUCAUAGAGGUGCUCCCUUUACCACCUAGCCGAACAAUCGGGAAUGUAGGGGUAAGCACAGGAGCCAGGCAACCCAGCUUGGCCAAAACUUAAGUCAUAUCGAUGCAUAUAAUGGUGAAUAAAAGGUACAUGCGGAAGUGUGACACAUGUGUUGGGCAUGAAGCCCAUAUAAAUAAGCUUCUAUUAAAGAAGCCCCCAGGUCUAAUGAGCGCGGAUAGUGUUGGAAAUAUGCCUAUUUCCUUGUUCAUGAUAAUCGUUUAUUAUCCAUGCUAGAAUUGUAUUGAUAGGAAACUCAGAUACAUGUGUGGAUACAUAGACAACACCAUGUCCCUAGUAAGCCUCUAGUUGACUAGCUCAUUGAUCAAUAGAUGGUUACGGUUUCCUGACCAUGGACAUUGGAUGCCGUUGAUAACGGGAUCACAUCAUUAGGAGAAUGAUGUGAUGGACAAGACCCAAUCCUAAGCCUAGCACAAGAUCAUGUAGUUUGUAUGCUAAAGCUUUUCUAAUGUCAAGUAUCAUUUCCUUAGACCAUGAGAUUGUGCAACUCCCGGAUACCGUAGGAGUGCUUUGGGUGUGCCAAACAUCACAACGUAACUGGGUGGCUAUAAAGGUACACUACAGGUAUCUCCGAAAGUGUCUGUUGGGUUGGCGCGAAUCGAGACUGGGAUUUGUCACUCCGUGUAAACGGAGAGGUAUCUCUGGGCCCACUCGGUAGGGCAUCAUCAUAAUGUGCACAAUGUGAUCAAGGAGUUGAUCACGGGAUGAUGUGUUACGGAACGAGUAAAGAGACUUUCCGGUAACGAGAUUGAACAAGGUAUCGGGAUACCAACAAUCGAAUCUCGGGCAAGUAUCGUACCGAUAGACAAAGGGAAUUGCAUACGGGAUUGAUUAAGUCCUUGACAUCAUGGUUCAUCCGAUGAGAUCAUCGUGGAACAUGUGGGAGCCAACAUGGGUAUCCAGAUCCCACUGUUGGUUAUUGACCGGAGAACAUCUCGGUCAUGUCUACAUGGUUCCCGAACCCGUAGGGUCUACACACUUAAGGUUCGGUGACGCUAGGGUUGUAGGGAUAUGUAUAUGCAGUAACCCGAAUGUGGUUCAGAGUCCCGGAUGAGAUCCCGGAUGUCACGAGGAGUUCCGGAAUGGUCUGGAGGUAAAGAAUUAUAUAUAGGAAGUGCUAUUCCGGCCAUCGGGACAAGUUUCGGGGUCACCGGUAUUGUACCGGGACCACCGGAAGGGUCCCGGGGGUCCAGCGGGUGGGGCCACCUAUCCCGGAAAGCCCCAUGGGCUGAAGUGGGAAGGGAUCCAGCCCAAAGUGGGCUGGGGCACCACUUCCCCCUAGGGCCCAUGCGCCUAGGGUGGGGGAAACCCUAAAGGAAGAGUCCUAGAAGGGGAACGCACCUCCUAGGUGCCUUGGGGAGGAGGGAUUCCUCCCUUGGCCGCCGCCCCCCUAGGAGAUUGGAUCUCCUAGGGCCGGCGCCCCCCCCCUAGGCCCCGUAUAUAUAGUGGGGGGAAGGGAGGACCUCUCACCCUUGCCUUUGGUGCCUCUCUCUCCCUCUCCAACACCUCCUCCUCCUCCAUAGUGCUUGGCGAAGCCCUGCCGGAGUACUGCAGCUCCACCACCACCACGCUGUCGUGCUGCUGUUGGAGCCAUCUCCAUCAACCUCUCCUUUCCCCUUGUUGGAUCAAGAAGGAGGAUACGUCGCUGCUCCAUACGUGUGUUGAACGUGGAGGUGCCGUCCGUUUGGCGCUAGGAUCAUCGGUGAUUUGGAUCACGACGAGUACGACUCCAUCAACCCCGUUCUCUUGAACGCUUCUGCGCGCGAUCUACAAGGGUAUGUAGAUCCACUCCUCCCUCGUUGCUAGAUGACUCCAUAGAUAGAUCUUGGUGACACGUAGGAAAAUUUUGAAUUUCUGCUACGUUCCCCAACAGUGGUAUCAGAGCUAGGUCUAUGCGUAGUUUCUAUGCACGAGUAGAACACAAAGUAGUUGUGGGCGUUGAUUUUGUUGAAGGAGCUUACCGUUACUAGUCCAAUCUCGAUUCGGUGGCAUUGUGGGAUGAAGCGGCCCGGACCGACCUUACACGUACUCUUACGUGAGACUGGUUCCACCGACUGACAUGCACUAGUUGCAUGAGGUGGCUAGCGGGUGUCUGUCUCUCCCACUUUAAUCGGACCGGAUUCGAUGAAAAGGGUCCUUAUCAAGGGUAAAUAGCAAUUGGCAUAUCAUGUUGUGGUCUUUGCGUAGGUAAGAAACGUUCUUGCUAGAAACCCAUAGCAGUCACGUAAAACAUGCAAACAACAAUUAGAGGACGUCUAACUUGUUUUUGCAGGGUAUGCUAUGUGAUGUGAUAUGGCCAAAAGGAUGUGAUGAAUGAUAUAUGUGAUGUAUGAGAUUGAUCAUGUUCUUGUAAUAGGAAUCACGACUUGCAUGUCGAUGAGUAUGACAACCGGCAGGAGCCAUAGGAGUUGUCUUAAUUUAUUUAUGACCUGCGUGUCAACAUAAACGUCAUGUAAUUACUUUACUUUAUUGCUAACCGUUAGCUGUAGUAGUAGAAGUAAUAAGUUGGCGAGACAACUUCAUGGAGACACAAUGAUGGAGAUCAUGAUGAUGGAGAUCAUGGUGUCAUGCCGGUGACGAUGAUGAUCAUGGAGCCCCAAGAUGGAGAUCAAAGGAGCUAUAUGAUAUUGGCCAUAUCAUGUCACUAUUAUUUGAUUGCAUGUGAUGUUUAUCAUGUUUAUACAUCUUGUUUACUUAGAACGAUGGUAGUAAAUAAGAUGAUCCCUCACUAAAAUUUCAAGAAGGUGUUCCCCCUAACUGUGCACCGUUGCGAAAGUUCGUCGUUUCGAAGCACCACGUGAUGAUCGGGUGUGAUAGAUUCUUACGUUCACAUACAACGGGUGUAAGCCAGAUUUACACACGCGAAACACUUAGGUUGACUUGACGAGCCUAGCAUGUACAGACAUGGCCUCAGAACACAAGAGACUGAAAGGUCGAGCAUGAGUCGUAUGGUAGAUACGAUCAACAUGAAGAUGUUCACCGAUGUUGACUAGUCCGUCUCACGUGAUGAUCGGACACGGCCUAGUUGACUUGGAUCAUGUAAUCACUUAGAUGACUAGAGGGAUGUCUACCUAAGUGGGAGUUCAUAAGAUGAACUUAAUUAUCCUGAACAUAGUCAAAAGGUCUUCGCAAAUUAUGUCGUAGCUCGCGUUUCAGUUCUACUGUUUAGUUAUGUUCCUAGAGAAAUUUAGUUGAAAGUUGAUAGUAGCAAUUAUGCGGACUAGGUCCGUAAACUGAGGAUUGUCCUCAUUGCUUCAUAGAAGGCUUAUGUCCUUAAUGCACCGCUCAGUGUGCUGAACCUUGAACGUUGUCUGUGGAAGUUGCGAACAUCUGACAUACACAUUUUGAUAACUACGUGAUAGUUUAGUUAAGCGGCUUAGAGUUGAGGCACCGAAGACGUUUUGAAACGUCGCGAAACAUAUGAGAUGUUUCGAGGGCUGAAAUUGGGAUUUCAGGCUCGUGCCCACGUCAAGAGAUAUAAGACCUCCGACGAUUUUCUUAGCCUGCAAACUAAGGAGAAAAGCUCAAUUGUUGUGCUUGUGCUCAGAUUGUCUUAGUACAACAAUCGCUUGAAUCGAGUGGGAGUUGAUCUUCCAGAUGAAAUAGUGAUGGUUCUCCGAAAUCAUUACCACCAAGCUGCUAGAGCUUCAUGAUGAACUAUGAUAUAUCAGGGACAUAUAUGAUGAUCCUUGAGAUAUUCGCAAUGUUUGACACCGCGAAAGUAGAAAUCAAGAAGGAGCAUCAAUUGUUGAUGGUUGGUGAAACCACUAGUUUCAAGAAGGGCAAGGGAACAAAGGGAUACUUCAUGAAAUGGCAAUUCAGCUGCUGCUCUAGUGAAGAAACCCAAGGUUGAACCCAAACCCGAGACUGAGUGCUUCUGUAAUAAGGGGAACAGCCACUGGAGCAGAAUUACCCUAGAUAGAUGAGAAGGCUGGCAAGGUCGAUAGAAGUAUAUUGGAUAUACAUUGUGUUGAUGUGUACUUUACUAGUACUCCUAGUAGCACCAGGGUAUUAGAUACCGGUUCGGUUGCUAAGUGUUAGUAACUCGGAACAAAAGGCUAUGGAAUAAACGGAGACUAGCUAAAGGUGAGCUAACGAUAUGUGUUGGAAGUGUUUCCAAUGUUCAUAUGAUCAAGCAUCGCACGCUCCCUCUACCAUCGAGAUUGGCGUUUGCGUUGAGCAUAGACAUGAUUGGAUUAUGUCUAUCGCAAUAUGGUUAUUCAUUUAAGGAGAAUAACGGUUACUCUGUUUAUUUGAAUAAUACCUUCAAUGGUCUUGCACCUAAAAUGAAUGGUUCAUUGAAUCUCGAUCAUAGUGAUACACAUGUUCAUGCCAAAAGAUAUAAGAUAGUAAUGAUAGUACCACCUACUUGUGGCACUGCCACUUAAGUCAUAUCGGUAUAAAACGCAUGAAGAAGCUCCAUGUUGAUGGAUCUUUGGGCUCACUCGUUUUUGAAAAGUUUGAGACAUGCGAACCAUGUCUAUUGGUGUAUAUGCAUGAAGAAACUCCAUGCAAAUGGACCGUUUUGACUCACUUGAUUUUGAAUCACUUGAGACAUGCAAAUCAUACCACAUGGGCAAGAUGACUGAAAGCCUCGUUUUCAGUAAAAUGGAACUAGAAAGCAACUUGUUGGAAGUAAUACAUUUUGAUGUGUGCAGUCCAAUGAGUGCUAAGGCGUGUAGUGGAUAUCGUUAUGUUCUUACUUCACAGAUGAUUUGAGUGGAUGUUGAGUAUAUUUACUUGAUGAAUCACGAGUCUGAAUUAUUGAAAGGUUCAAGUAAUUUCAGGGUGAAGUUGAAAGAUCGUCAUGACAAGAGGAUAAAAGAUCUAUGAUAUGAUCAUAGAGAUGAAUAUCUGAAUUACGAGUUUGGCACAGAAUUAAGACAUUGUGGAAAUUGUUUCACAACUAAUACAGCCUGGAACACCGUAGCGUGAUGGUGUGUCUGAACAUCAUAACUGCACCCUAUUGGAUAUGAUGCAUACCAUGAUGUCUCUUAUCGAAUUACCACAAUAGUUUAUGGGUUAGGCAUUAGAGACAACCACAUUCACUUUAAAUAGGGCACCAUGUAAUUCCGAUGAGAUGACUCCAUAUGAACUAUGGUUUAGAGAAACCUAAGCUGUCAUUUCUUAGAAGUUUGGGGCUGCGACGCUUAUGUGAAAAGUUGCAGGCUGAUAAGCUCGAACCCAAAGCGGAUAAAUGCAUCUUCAUAGGACACCCAAAACAGUUGGGUAUACCUCCUGUCUCAGAACCGAAAGCAAUAAGGGAUUGUUUCUAGAAUCGGGUCCUUGCUCGAGGAAAAGUUUCUCUCGAAAGAAUUGAGUGGGAGGAUGGUGGAGACUUGAUGAGGUUAUUGAACCGUCUCUUCAACUAGUGUGUGGCAGGGCACAGGAAGUUGUUCCUGUGGCACCUACACCAAUUGAAGUGGAAGCUUAUGAUAGUGAUCAUGAAACUUCAGAUCAAGUCACUACCAAACCUCGUGGGAUGACAAGGAUGCGUACUACUUCAGAGUGGUACGUAAUCCUAUCUUGGAAGUCAUGUUGCUAGACAACAAUGAACCUACGAGCUAUGGAGAAGCGAUGGUGGGCCCGGAUUCCGAUAAAUGGCUCGAGGCCAUAAAAUCCGAGAGAGGAUCCAUGUAUGAAAACAAAGUGUAGACUUUGGAAGAACUACUUGAUGGUCGUAAGGCUGUUAGGUACAUAUGGAUUUUAAAAGGAAGACAGACAAUGAUGGUAAAUGUCACCAUUAAAAAGCUCAACUUGUUGUUAAGAUGUUUUUCGACAAGUUCAAGGAGUUGACUACGAUGAGACUUUCUCACUCGUAGCGAUGCUAAGAGUCUGUUGGAAUUAUAUUAGCAAUUACUGCAUUAUUGAAAUCUUGCAGAUAGGAUGUCAAAACAUUGUUUCCUCGACGAUUUUCUUGAGGAAAGGUUGUAUGUGAUACAACCGGAAGGUUUUGUCAAUCCUGAAAGAUGCUACUAAGUAUGCAAAGCUCCAGCAAUCCUUCUGAGGACUGGAGUAAUCAUCUCGGAGUUGGAAUGUAUGCUUUGAUGAGAUGAUCAAAGAUUUUGGGUGUAUACAAAGUUUAUGAGAAACUUGUAUUUCCAAAGAAGUGAGUGGGAGCACUAUAGAAUUUCUCAUGAGUACAUGUUGUUGACAUAUUGUGGAUCAGAAAUGACGUAGAAUUUCUGGAAAGCAUAUAGGGUUUUUUGGAAAGUGUUUUUCAAUGGAAAGCCUGGAUUAAGCUACUUGAACAUUGAGCAUCAAGAUCUAUAAGGAUAGAUCAAAAUGCUUAAUGGUACUUUCAAAUGAGCACAUACCUUGACAUGAUCUUGAAGGUGUUCAAGAUGGAUCAGUCAAAGAAGGAGUUCUUGCCUGAGUUGUAAGGUAUGAAGUUAAGACUUAAAGCUCGACCACGGCAGAAUAGAGAGAAAGGACGAAGGUCGUCCCCUAUGCUUAAGACAUAGGCUCUACAAUAUGCUAUGCUGUGUACCGCACCUGAAAUGUGCCUUGCCAUGAGUCAGUCAAGGGGUACAAGAGUGAUCUAAGAAUGGAUCAUAGGACAGCGGUCAAAGUUAUCCUUAGUAACUAGUGGACUAAGGAAUUUUCUCGAUUAUGGAGGUGGUAAAAGAGUUCGUCGUAAAGGGUUACACCGAUGCAAACUUUGACACUAAUCCAGAUUAUUCUGAGUAGUAAACUGGAUUCGUAUAGUAGAAUAGUUAUUUGGAAUAGCUACAAAUGUAGCGUAGUAGCUGCAUCUACAAGAUGACAUAGAGAUUUGCGAAGUACAUACGGAUCUGAAAGAUUCAGACCCGUUGACUAUAACAUCUCUCACAAGCAUAACAUGAUCAAACCCAGAACUCAUCGAGUGUUAAUCACAUGGUAAUGUGAACUAGAUUAUUGACUCUAGUAAACUCUUUGGGUGUUAGUCACAUGGGGAUGUGACCUUGAGUGUUAAUCACAUAUCGAUGUGAACUGGAUUAUUGACUCUAGUGCAAGUGGGAGACUGUUGGAAAUAUGCCCUAGAGGCAAUAAUAAAUUGCUUAUUAUUAUAUUUCCUUGUUCAUGAUAAUCGUUUAUUAUCCAUGCUAGAAUUGUAUUGAUAGGAAACUCAGAUACAUGUGUGGAUACAUAGACAACACCAUGUCCCUAGUAAGCCUCUAGUUGACUAGCUCGUUGAUCAAUAGAUGGUUACGGUUUCCUAACCAUGGACAUUGGAUGUCGUUGAUAACGGGAUCACAUCAUUAGGAGAAUGAUGUGAUGGACAAGACCCAAUCCUAAGCCUAGCACAAGAUCAUGUAGUUUGUAUGCUAAAGCUUUUCUAAUGUCAAGUAUCAUUUCCUUAGACCAUGAGAUUGUGCAACUCCUGGAUACCGUAGGAGUGCAUUGGGUGUGCCAAACGUCACAACGUAACUGGGUGGCUAUAAAGGUACACUACAGGUAUCUCCGAAAGUGUCUGUUGGGUUGGCGCGAAUCGAGACUGGGAUUGGUCACUCCGUGUAAACGGAGAGGUAUCUCUGGGCCCACUCGGUAGGGCAUCAUCAUAAUGUGCACAAUGUGAUCAAGGAGUUGAUCACGGGAUGAUGUGUCACGGAACGAGUAAAGAGACUUUCCGGUAACGAGAUUGAACAAGGUAUCGGGAUACCAACGAUCAAAUCUCGGGCAAGUAUCGUACCGAUAGACAAAGGGAAUUGCAUACGGGAUUUAUUAAGUCCUUGACAUCAUGGUUCAUCCGAUGAGAUCAUCGUGGAACAUGUGGGAGCCAACAUGGGUAUCCAGAUCCCGCUGUUGGUUAUUGACCGGAGAACGUCUCGGUCAUGUCUACAUGGUUCCCGAACCCGUAGGGUCUACACACUUAAGGUUCGGUGACGCUAGGGUUGUAGGGAUAUGUAUAUGCAGUAACCCGAAUGUUGUUCGGAGUCCCGGAUGAGAUCUUGGACGUCACGAGGAGUUUCGGAAUGGUCCGGAGGUAAAGAAUUAUAUAUAGGAAGUGCUAUUUCGGCCAUCGGGACAAGUUUCGGGGUCACCGGUAUUGUACCGGGACCACCGGAAGGGUCCCGGGGGUCCAGCGGGUGGGGCCACCUAUCCCGGAGGGCCCCAUGGGCUGAAAUGGGAAGGGAUCCAGCCCAAAGUGGGCUGGGGCACCACUUCCCCCUAGGGCCCAUGCGCUUAGGGUGGGGGAAACCCUAAAGGAAGAGUCCUAGAAGGGGAGGGCACCUCCUAGGUGCCUUGGGGAGGAGGGAUUCCUCCCUUGGCCACCACCCCCCUAGGAGAUUGGAUCUACUAGGGCCGGCGCCCCCCCUAGGCCCCCUAUAUAUAGUGGGGGGAAGGGAGGACCUCUCACCCUUGCCUUUGGUGCCUCCCUCUCCCUCUCCAACACCUCCUCCUCCUCCAUAGUGCUUGGCGAAGCCCUGCCGGAGUACUGCAGCUCCACCACCACCACGCCGUCGUGCUGCUGUUGGAGCCAUCUCCAUCAACCUCUCCUUCCCCCUUGCUGGAUCAAGAAGGAGGAGAUGUCGCUGCUCCGUACGUGUGUUUAACGCGGAGGUGCCGUCCGUUCGGUGCUAGGAUCAUCGGUGAUUUGGAUCACGACGAGUACGACUCCAUCAACCCCAUUCUCUUGAACGCUUCCGCGCGCGAUCUACAAGGGUAUGUAGAUCCACUCCUCCCUCGUUGCUAGAUGACUCCAUAGAUAGAUCUUGGUGACACGUAGGAAAAUUUUGAAUUUCUGCUACGUUCCCCAACAGAUAGCGUGUCAGUUGAUGAGCCUUUAAAGGCUAUAAGAGAAAGGGAGGGGAGAAGGAGAGAAAUAUAAGACAGAAAGUAUAUAAAAAAUGGACAAAGGAAGGAGACGAACACAGAGUCCGGCGCUAGGCAUAGAAUCUUCGGAGACGGGCUGCGUUCCAUGGGUUCGGCUCGAGUCGGUUAUCCGAUGCAUCUCGCAGGCGGUACGCUCCACCAGUCAGGACUUGGUCAGUUAUGAAGGGACCUUCCCAUUUGGGCUUUAGUUUGUCCUUUUUCUUGUCCGGCAGGCGUAGAACUAAUUUGCCAACAUUGUAAUUUUUGGCCCGUACUUCUCUGCUUUGAUAUCUUCGAGCCUGCUGUUGAUAGAAUACGGAACGGGCUUUUCCCACGUCACGCUCCUCCUCCAAGGCGUCCAAACUGUCCUGCCGAUCGAGCUCGGCUUCUCUUUCUUCGUACAUGCGCACUCGAGGUGAGUCAUGAAUUAUGUCGCAGGGCAAAACUGCCUCUGCGCCGUACACCAUGAAGAAUGGUGUGUAUCCGGUGGUGUGAUUCGGCGUGGUCCGCAGCCCCCAGAGUACGGAGUCGAGCUCCUCUACCCAGUGCGUAUUAGAUUCCUUGAGGGACAGCACUAAUCUGGGUUUGAUGCCGCUCAUGAUAAGACCAUUUGCACGUUCGACCUGGCCGUUAGUUUAUGGGUGAUAGACGGUAGCAUAAUCGAGCUUGAUGCCCAUGUUUUUACACCAGAGUUGUACCUCGUCGGCCGUAAAGUUCGUGCCGUUAUCAGUGAUGAUGUUGUGGGGGACGCCGUAACGGUGUACGACCCCGGAUAUAAAGUCUAUCACCAGUCCAGAUUCGGCCGUCUUAACAGGCUUGGCUUCUAUCCAUUUGGUGAACUUAUCCACCAUGACCAGUAAGUAUUUUUUCUUGUGGGUUCCACCUUUAAGGGGUCCAACCAUGUCAAGCCCCCAGACCACGAAGGGCCAAGUGAUGGGGAUAGUUUGGAGGGCGGUGGGUGGCAUAUGGCUUUGGUUUGCAAAAAGCUGGCAAUCAACGCAUCGAUGGACUAAGUCCUGAGCGUCUGCCCGGGCCGUCGGCCAAUAAAAGCCUGUACGGAAGGCCUUGCUUACAAGAGAACGAGCUGCAACGUGAUGACCGCCGAGUCCGGCAUGAAUUUCAGCCAGAAGGUUCCGCCCUUCUUCUUCGGAGAUGCACCUUUGAAGGACUCCGGUAGUGCUUUUCUUAUAAAGCUCUCCCUGAUGGACUUUAUAGGCUUUAGAUCGCCGCACUAUGCAGCGUGCCUCAUUUUGGUCCUCGGGGAGUUCCUGCCUAGUAAGGUAGGCUAGGAAUGGUUCUUUCCACGGGGCGAUGACGGCCAUUAUUACGUGGGAUGAAGGUGUUGUUUCAUUGACAGAGCCUCCAAUUAUGUCAGAUUUUUCGGUGUCGAGCAGUGCGGUUGGGUCCGGGCUGUUAUUGUCGGUUUCCCCUUCCCAUACUACGGAUGGCUUGAACAGCCUUUCCAAGAAGAUGUUGGGGGGGGGGGACUGCAUCGCAUUUGCGCCGAUGCGUGCCAGGACAUCUGUCGCCUGGUUAUUUUCCCGGGCUACAUGGUGAAAUUCGAGCCCUUCGAACCGAGCUGACAUUUUUAAGACGGUGUUGCGAUAAGCUGCCAUUUUUGGAUCCUUGGCAUCAAAGUCUCCAUUUAUUUGGGAUAUUGCGAGGUUCGAGUCCCCGCGCACCUCUAGGCAUUGAAUGCCCAUGGAUACUGCCAUUCGGAGACCGUGUAAAAGGGCAUCAUAUUCGGUUGCAUUGUUGGAGUCCGUGUACAUUAUCUGGAGUACAUAUUGAACUGUGUCUCCUGUAGGGGACGUCAAAACGACACCAGCCCCUAGACCGGCCAACAUUUUGGAGCUGUCGAAGUGCAUGAUCCAAUUUGAAUAUGUGUCGUACUCUUUAGGGAGUUCGGCCUCCGUCCAUUCUGCGACGAAGUCGUCCAAAACCUGCGACUUAAUAGCUCGCCGUGGCUUGUAAGUUAUGUCGAACGGGAGGAGCUCAAUGGCCCAUUUUGCAAUCCGGCCCGUCGCGCCGCAGUUGUUUAUAAUAUCGUUAAGUGGCACUUCCGAGGCUACUGUUAUUGAACACUCUUGAAACUAGUGCCGCAGCUUCCGGGAUGCCAUAAAUACAGCGUACGCAAUCUUUUGAUAAUGCGGGUACCGUGAUUUGCAUGGAGUAAGGACAUUGGACACAUAAUAGACCGGCUUUUGAAGGGGGAAUUUGUGUCCGUCCGUUUCUCGUACGACGACGAGCACUGCGCUUAAAACCUGAUGGGUUGCUGCAAUGUAUAAUAGCAUUGGUUCGCCAAUGUUUGGCGCGGCCAGGACUGGGUUUGUUGCCAAUAUGGCUUUUAUUUCGUCGAGUCCGGCCGUGGCUGCAUCCGUCCACUCGAAGUGUUCGGUGCGCCGAAGGAGGCGGUAAAGGGGUAGUGCCUUUUCUCCCAAGUGGGAGAUAAAGCGGCUUAGAGCCGCCACGCAUCCGGUUAAUUUUUGUAUUUGUUUGAGGUCCUUUGGGAUAUCCAAUUGUGACAGAGCUCGGAUCUUGGCUGGAUUUGCUUCAAUUCCUCUACGGAUACAAUGAAGCCCAAGAGCUUUCUGGCUGGAAUGCCGAAAACGCAUUUUUCCGGGUUGAGCUUGAUGUCGUAUGUUCGGAGGUUAUCGAAUGUGAGCCUCAAGUCGUCUACUAGAGAUUCGACAUGUCGACCACGUCAUCUACGUAUGCCUCCACCGUUUUGCCGAACUGGUUUGCCAGACAUGUCUGAAUCAUGCGCUGAUAUGUUGCGCCGGCGUUUUUGAGCCCGAAGGGCAUUGUGUUGAAGCAGAAUGGGCCGUAUGGUGUGAUGAAUGCCGUUGCGGCUUGGUCUGACUCUGCCAUCUUGAUUUGAUGGUAGCCGAAAUAUGCAUCGAGGAAACGCAACGAAUCGUGUCCUGCGGUAGCGUCGAUAAUUUGAUCGAUGCAGGGGAGGGGGAAGGGAUCCUUUGGGCAAGCCUUGUUAAGGUCUUUAAAAUCAACGCACAGGCGCCAGGAUUUGUCCUUCUUUGGUACCAUCACCAGGUUUGCUAGCCAGUCCGGAUGUUUUAUAUCUCUAAUGAAUCCGGCCUCCAAUAGCUUGGCUAGCUCCUCUCCCAUGGCCUGUCUCUUAGGUUCGGAAAAACGCCGAAGAGCCUGUUUGACUGGAUUGAAUCCUUUUAGGAUAUUUAAGCUGUGUUCGGCCAGCCUGCGUGGGAUUCCUGGCAUGUCUGAAGGGUGCCAGGAGAAAAUGUCCCAGUUCUCACGUAGGAACUCUCACAGUGCGGCGUCUACAUCAGGGUUUAAUUGUGCCCCGAUGGAAGCUGUUUUAUUGGGGUCCGUUGGAUGGACCUGGAAUUUGACUAUUUUGUCCGCUGUUUUAAAGGAGGUGGACUUGGAUCUUUUGUCGAGUAUCACAUCAUCCCUGUUCACCGUGGAGCGCAGCGCAGUCAGUUCCUCAGCCGCUAGGGCUUCGGAUAGUGCCUCGAGGGCCAGUGCGGCUGUCUUCUUUUCGGCGCGGAGUGCUAUGUCCGGAUCACUAGCGAGAGUGAUGAUUCCGUUAGGCCCGGGCAUCUUGAGCUUCAUGUACCCGUAAUGGGGUAUUGGUUGGAAGAUUGUAAACGCUUCCCGCCCUAGCAGAGCGUGGUAUCCGCUACUGAACGGGGACACUUGGAACGUGACCUCUUCGGACCUGUAAUUAUCCAGCAUGCCUAACACCACAUCUAGUGUGGAUUUUCCUAUACAGCGCGCUUCCCGACUGGGGAUUAUUCUUCUAAAGGUUGUGCUGCUUCGCUCAAUGCGAUUCCAGUCUAUUCCAUUUUUUGAAGGGUUUCCUCAUAAAUGAGGUUCAAUCCGUUGCCUCCAUCCAUGAGUACCUUGGUAAGGCGAAAGCCGUCCACUAUUGGACUGAGGACUAACGUGGCUGGUGCUCGGGCUGUUCGGAAUUUAGGUUCAUCACUGGCAUUAAAAGUAAUAGCCGUGUCACUCCAUGGGUUUAUUGUUGCUACUUGGUAGACUUCGGCAAGGCUGCGGAGUGUUCUUUUUUGCAUAUUAUUUGAUGCGAAAGUCUCGAAGACUGUUAAUACCGUACCGGUGUCCCUGGGGUGGCUUUCUGUGGCCUCAGGAAUUAGAAGAUCUUCGCCAAUUUUGGCCACCUGUCGGAGUAUCCAACAUGCUCUAAGGCUGUGAGUUGGUGUGGCGCCCUCUGUACUGUGAAUUUUACAGGGUCCAUUAAGCCAUCCUUCCAGUACGGUUCCAUGCCCUGUAGAGGGUUUUUGCUUUUUGGUGUUUAACUCGGGUGUCUGGCGAUGAUGCACCCUUUUGUUUCGGACUAGGUUUCUAUUCAGGGCCGGAUUGUCCCAAAAUUUUAUUUCAGUUUUCCAAGCGCUUUCCAUUGCACAGUACUUUCGUACUAUUGACGCCAAGUCAGCGAAGCGUCUAAUAUCACGGCGACUUAUGGCGUUGAGGAUUCCCUUGUCCGUGCAAUUAUUGCAGAAGAAUGAGAUUGCGUCUUCCUCGCAGCAGUCCUUGAUCCUGUUCAUAACCAGGAGGAAUCUGGCCCAGUAAUGAUGUACUGUUUCUUCGGGCCUUUGCCUAAUUUGGGAUAGAUCGCUUAUGUUCGGGUGGGUGGGUGGAAAUAAAUCCGAAACCUCACCCAAUCUGAGACUCAGAGGCCAAGGAGUUUCUGAACUCGGAAGUUUGGAUUCUUGGAUGUUGUCCAAUGAAUCUAGCCCGUCGCCUGACUCUAAGUUCAGGUCUUGAGUGAUGUCCUCCCCUCUGCGGGUAUCCGUCUUGGAGGGAUCGGGAAUCCGGACAUAGCUAGUCCUUAAGAUAGAUGAAGGGUCGCCGCACUGCCCCUCUACCACGGCAACGUGAUGGAUGGCCUGGGGAGAGUUAAUCUCUCUCAGAUCGGGUUUAGGCCCAAUCUGGUCGUAAUCCGUAGCAAUUCCCAGGGUGGCGAUGCGAUCCAAGAGCUCGUUUAUGGAAGAGAGCUCCAUUGGAUCUAACUGCUCGGCGAGUCCUGAGCUGACGUGAAGAUUGCUUUUGAUGACCCGAGAGGUCAUCGUCGGUGCAGCAGCCGAACAAGCGGUCAUAAGAAAACCACCUAGCCAGAGAGUUUGGCCGACAGCCAAAGCUCCCUUAGCAACGGUGCCGUCUUUAAAGACGGGAUGAGGCAUCCUUCCUGAUGGCGAAAGCACAGAGGAACUCUCAAUGAAAGCACCAAUGUCGGUGUCAAAACCGGUGGAUCUCGGGUAGGGGGUCCCGAACUGUGCGUCUAGGGGGAUGGUAACAGGAGACAAGGGACACGAUGUUUUUACCCAGGUUCGGGCCCUCUCGAUGGAGGUAAAACCCUACUCCUGCUUGAUUAAUAUUGAUGAUAUGGGUAGUCUAAGAGUAGAUCUACCACGAGAUCAAGGAGGCUAAACCCUAGAAGCUAGCCUAUGGUAUGAUUGUUGUUCGUCCUACGGACUAAAACCCUCUGGUUUAUAUACACACCGGAGAGGGCUAGGGUUACAUAGAGUCGGUUACAAUGGUAGGAGAUCUACAUAUCCGUAUCGCCAAGCUUGCCUUCCACGCCAAGGAAAGUCCCUUCCGGACACGGGACGAAGUCUUCAAUCUUGUAUCUUCAUAGUCCAGGAGUCCGGCCGAAGGUAUAGUCCGGCUAUCCGGACACCCCCUAAUCCAGGACUCCCUCAACCAUGCUUGCUAAUUAUACUUUUAAGGGUAGAAUACCAAAGAAACUUGGAGAUCCAGGAGUACCCACUAUACCAUGCUCCAUUAAAAGAAACUAUGUUAAAACUGCUUUAUGUGAUCUUGGAGCCGGUGUUAGUGUUAUGCCUCUCUCUUUAUACCAUAGACUUGAUUUGAAUAAGUUGACACCUACUGAAAUAUCUUUGCAAAUGGCUGAUAAAUCAACUGCUAUACCUGUUGGUAUUUGUGAGGAUGUGCCUGUUGUAGUUGCAAACGUUACUAUUUUAACGGACUUUGUUAUUCUUGGUAUUCCCGAGGACGAUAGUAUGCCUAUUAUUCUUGGAAGACCUUUUCAGAAUACUGCAGGGGCUGUUAUUGAUUGCAACAAAGGCAAUGUCACUUUUCAUGUUAAUGGUAAUGAGCAUACGAUACACUUUCCGAGGAAACAACCUCAAGUUCAUAGUAUCAACUCUAUUGGAAAAAUUCCAUCGAUUAUAUUUGAAGGUUUUGAAUUUCCUCUUCCUACUGUCAAGAAGAAAUAUGAUAUUCUUAUUAUAGGGGAUGUGCAUAUCCAGGUUGAGGUAACUUAGUGUUAUUCGAAAUUUCUCCGGUUCCAUGUUAAUCGGAAUGAGUUUGUUAACAAGACCUGAUCAACCUUGUUAGUGGAUUCUUUUUGAUGAGCAUGAGAUGGAUGAAACUAGAAGCACAACCUUCUGUACCCUCUUUAUACUUUCUGUUAUUUAGUUGAAAUAAAGUAAAAAUAGUAUUUUCCUGUCUGUUUCCUGAUUCAUCCGUGCAAUAUAAAAAUAUCCCGAAAAUAAAAGUCCUCAGAAUGCCAUGCCAAUUUAAUAUGAUUUUUUCGGGAAUAUUUGAGCAUUUAUGGUGCAAAAAUCACCGCGGGGGGAGCUGCCACCUGGUCACGAGGGUGGAGGGCGCGCCCUACCCCCCUGGGUGCGCCCCCUGCCUCGUGGGCCCACGGUGGCCCUCCUCCACUUAUUCCUGCACCCAUCCUCUUCUUCUUCCUCCCGCAAAUCCGAAAAACCAGCUCAAGCAUGAGUUCUAGCCUUCUUUGCUGUGAUUUUCGAUCUCCUUGCUCAAAGCACCUCUCGCAAAACUGCUUGGGGAGAUUGUUCCUUGGUAUGUGACUCCUCCAUUGGUCCAAUUAGUUUUUGUUCUAGUGAUUUAUUCAGUGCAAAUUUGUGCUGCAUAGGUGACCAUGUUCUUGAGCUUGCAUGUCAAAAUUUAUAUGGUUCCAAGUAGUUCUAAUGCUUGAUAUAGGCUCUAGGCACUUGUAGGAGUAGUUGCUAUCAGUUUUGUUGAGCUUUGUUCACUUUUGUUUGAAGUUACUAAAAAUUUCAGAAUUUUUUUAGAGAAAAACAAUAUGUUUAGGAAGAUGUUCCAAGGUGGUUCUUCAAGGAAGCAAGGCCCUAGGCUUGCAAUGCGUGAUGCCGAUGAGGAGCCCCCAAGAGACGCUCCCGUGAGGCCCUGUGAAUGGCCUUCGGAAAAUUUUAUGAAUCGAGCGGGAAUCAAAGAAGAAUUUAACGCAUAUUUGUGUAACACCGGUCUUGUGGACUUUGAGGCAGACAAAUGCCCCCAGUAUCAUGAUCUCACAAGCUCAUUUGUGAGGAGGUUUGAGUUUUCAUCUUUGCGUAAUUCUCCUUCAGUCAUGUUUGAUCUUUAUGACAAAUGUUAUACCAUGGACUUAGAGGAUUUUACUUUUGCUUGCAAACUCCCACAAUGGGGUAGUACUGUUGAUCCCCAUAAAUCUGAAUUUAGAAACUUUCUUGCUAGUAUAACUGUGGGAGAAUCUAGAGAUAUAACGCAAGCUACCAUAGGGAGCAUUCGCUUUCCUGCUAUACAUUAUUUUGCUCUCUUCAUAGGUAGAUGCAUAAAUGCUAAAGAUGAAGCAUGUCACAUGUGUGUCCCUGACCUUAGCAUUCUCAGGAGUGCUGUGUUAGGAGACCAAUCUUGUCAUAUGGGAGCCAUUGUAGCACGUAGGUUGCAUCAUAAUAGAUAUAACGGAGAUUUCUUUGGAGGAAUUUAUGCAACCCGCUUAGCUAAUUUUCUUGAGAUAGACAUUCGUGAGGGUGAUAUGAAGUUGCCCCCUGCUUAUUUAGAUUUUGAUUCUAUGGUUUCCCACCAGUUUGUCGAGAGGACUGAAUCACCUCUCUAGUACCGACUAAUCUUUAACAAACGGCAUGUUGUCCGUAUUACUCUCCCUGCUCCUGCCUUCUUUGAUUACCAGGCAAACGGAAGAUAUACUAUUACCAGAGAGGAGGCAGAUGAGUACGAGAGGAGAGCGGAGGCAGCUCGAGCCACGCUGCAGCUCAGGAGGCGAUAGUCGCGGCAUCGCAGUACGACCCCAGCUACACCUACGGGUAUCAGCCAGGCUAUCCCUGGCAAUAUACCAACUUAGGCCAAAAGCCUAAGCUUGGGGGUGUACGUAUUUCUCACCGACACUACAUUCAUGUUCACACACACUCAUUGCUAAAUGUCGGUGCUCAUACUCUUUCACUGUAAUAUUCAUGCUAGUUUAUUUUCUUUUUCCUGCUUUCUUCUUGUGUGUUUGUUAAACCUUAAGAAAAAUCAAAAACAAAAAAAUUUGUAGUAGUUUACUUUUCUUGCUGUAGUAGUAAUAACUAAAAGAAAAUCCAAAAAUAUUUCCUGUUCUUCUUUUUGCUUGUUGGGAGCUUUCCCAUGUAAAUAGUUUUAUUUCUUUUCUUUUCUUUGGGGGUCGAUAGGAGAAGACCAUGAUUAAAUUGUUGAAGUGGCUCUUAUAUGCAUUAUUGUUGAUUUAACCAAGAGCCCAUAUUACCUUGUAUUCUCCUGUUUAUUGAAUGCUCGCAGAUUCCAGCUUAGUCCAAUGCACGUGCACUCUUAUUAUUAUUCACAUCGUUCGGUCGUGCAAGUGAAAGGCAAUUAUGAUGAUAUAUGAUGGACUGACUGAGAUGAGAAAAAGCUGAUAUGAACUCGACCUCUUUUGUUUUUGUAAAUAUGAUUAGGGAGGGCAGUUUUGCCCACGGGUAUGGGUACCCGCGGGUACCCUACCCGAAAACAAUGGGUAUGGGCAAGACUUGAAGAGAUUUUCUACCCAUGGGUAAUGGGUACCCAUACCCGCAAAAUAUAUGGGUAGGGCAUGGGUAAGAAAUUGUGCCCAUGGGUAACCCAAUGGAUACCCAGAAAAAAUUAAUAAACGAAAAUAACUCCUAUAAUAUGUGGGGUUAACAUCCAACUCAUAUGGUCCAACCCUAAAUCUCAUAUUCCUUAAACAAGUCAUAGCUCAUAGGCUCAUAAUCACCUGCUCGCCACUCCUCCAUGUGACUCCUCAAAAAGAUGAAAUCUCGACUCUUCGCUACCAGACUCUUGUCGAAAACUCAAUCCAGCGAUCCCCAAUUCCCACCACCGCCUUCCACUACGUCAGUUUUCCACCAACCGCUGCUCAUACUCCCCUGAUGCCUCCAAGAGGCCACCCACCAUAGGAGGCCACAUACGUGCUAUACUACUCUACCAUGAUCGCUUGAAUUUUGAACUCAUUUCUCUACCUCUUAAGAAUUUGAAUGCUAUAUAUUGUACCCAAUGGAUACCCAUUGGAUAUAGGAUACCCGAUGGGUAUGGGCAUGGGUGUCAGUUUGUACCCAUGGGUAUUGAAGUGGGUGGGUAUAGAAAGUUUCUAUGGGUAUGGGUUUGGGUAGAAGGAGGUUGUACCCGCCCAUACCCUACCCAUUGCCAUCCCUAAAUAUGAUGAGUUCAUCGUUCUUGAUUCAGCUUAUUAUGAAUAAACAUGUUUGCAAUGACAAUUAGAGAUCAUAGUUGCUUAUGCCAUGCUUGAUUGGCUAUGAGUUAUAAUGGUUUACCUUGCGCGCCAACAUGCUAUUGAAUGGUUAUGAUGUGGUAUGAUGGGGUGGUAUCCUCCUUUGAAUGAUUUAAGUGACUUGACUUGGCACAUGUUCAUGCAUGUAGUAGAAACAAAUCAACAUAGCCUUCACGAUAUUUAUGUUCAUGGUGGAUUACAUCCUACUCAUGCUUGCAUCCAAUGUUUAUUAAUUUUAAUGCAUGUACAUGACUGUUGUCGCUCUCUAGUUGGUCGCUUCCCAGUCUUUUGCUAGCCUUCACUUGUACUAAGCGGGAAUACUGCUUGUGCAUCCAAUCCCAUAAACCCCAAAAUUAUUCCAUAUGAGUCCACUAUACCUUCCUAUAUGCGGUAUCUACUUGCUGUUCCAAGUAAAUUUGUAUCUGCCAAACUCUAAACCUUCAAAUAAACAUUCUGUUUUGUAUGCUCGAAUAGCUCAUGUAUCAACUAGGGCUGCCCUUAUCUUCCAUGUUAGGCGGGUUAUUCUCAAGAGGAGUGGACUCCGCUCCUCACUCACGAGAAAAUGGCUGGUCACUGGAAUGCCCAGUCCCUUGCUUUAUGCAAACUAAAUCAAAUUAAUUGCAAACAAAACUCCCCCUGGGACCUGAUGUUUGUUGGAUGCACUCGUUGUUUCGAGCAAUCCAUGGAUUGAUGCUUUUUGGUGGAGGGGGAGUAUAAACUUUACCAUUCUGUUUGGGAACCGCCUAUAAUGUGUGUGGCAUGGAAGAUAUCGCCAUCUCUUAGUUGAUAUGUUGACAAUGAAAGUAUACCGCUCAAAAUAUUAUUCAUCUCUAUUUCAAAACCGAGCUCUGGCACCUCUACAAAUCCCUGCUUCCCUCUGCGAAGGGCAUAUCUAUUACUUUUAUGUUGAGUCAUCACCCUCUUAUUAAAAAGCACUAGCUGGAGAGCACAACUGUCAUUUGCAUUCAUUACUGUUAAUCUAUAUUGGGUAUGACUAUGGCUGGAUCUCUUUUAUCAUGAAUUACAAUGUCUAGUCAGUCCUUGAUCUUUAAAGGUGCUCUGCAUUUAUGUUUUGCGGUCUCAGAAAGGGCUAGCGAGAUACCAUCUUUUUAUAUCAUAUUAUAAUUGUUUUGAGAAAGUGUUGUCAUUCGAGAUCUAUUAUUAUGGCUCGCUAGUUGAUUAUGCUAUUGAUGUGAGUAAUCAUGAGACCUGAGAAUUAUUGCAAAUGUGGUUAGUUAUGAUCUUUGCUGAAAACUUGAAUGCUGGCUUGACAUAUUUACAACAACAAGAGCAAACACAGUUUGUAAAAGUUUUUCUUUUUCUCUUUCAGUUUGUCAACUGAAUUGCUUGAGGACAAGCAAGGGUUUAAGCUUGGGGGAGUAGAUACGUCUCCGUCAUAUCUACUUUUCCAAACACUUUUGCCCUUGUUUUGGACUCUAACUUACAUGAUUUGAAUGGAACUAACCCGUACUGACGCUGUUUUCAGCGGAAUUGCCAUGAUGUUGUUUCAUGUGUAGAAAACAGAAGUUCUCGGAAUGACCUGAAACUCCACGGAAUAUCUUAUAAAAAAUAAUAAAAAAUCCUCACCAAAGAUGAAGACCAGGGGGCCCACACCCUGUCCACGAGGGUGGGGGGCGCCCCCCCCCUACCUUGUGGGCCCCCUGGAGACUUUCCGACGCCAACUCCAACUCUAUAUAUUUGCUUUCCGGGAAAGAAAAAGAGAAGAGAAGAAAUUAUCGCGUUUUACGAUAUGGAGCCGCCGCCAAGCCCUAAAAGCUCUCGGGAGGGCUGAUCUAGAGUCCGUUCGGGGCUCCGAAAAGGGGAUUUCGUCACCGUCGUCAUCAUCAACCAUCCUCCAUCACCAAUUUCAUGAUGCUCAUCGUCGUGCGUGAGUAAUUCCAUCGUAGGCUUGCUGGACGGUGAUGGGUUGAAUGAGAUCUAUCAUGUAAUCGAGUUAGUUUUGUUAGGGUUUGAUCCCUAGUAUCCAUUAUGUUCUGAGAUUGAUGUUGCUAUGACUUUGCUAUGCUUAAUGCUUGUCACUAAGACCCGAGUGCCAUGAUUUCAGAUCUGAACCUAUUAUGUUUUAAUGAAUAUAUGUGAGUUCUUGAUCCUAUCUUGCAAGUCUAUAGUCACCUACUAUGUGUUAUGAUCCGGCAACCCCGAAGUGACAAUAAUCGGGACCACUCCCGGUGAUGACCUUAGUUUGAGGAGUUCAUGUAUUCACUAUGUGCUAAUGCUUUGUUCCGGCUCUCUAUUAAAAGGAGGCCUUAAUAUCCCCUAGUUUUCAUUAGGAACCCGCUGCCACGGGAGGGUAGGACAAAAGAUGUCAUGCAAGUUUCUUUUCCAUAAGCACGUAUGACUAUAUUCGGAAUACAUGCCUACAUUAUAUUGAUGAAUUGGAGCUAGUUCUAUGUCACCCAAGGUUAUGACUGUUACAUGAUGAACCACAUCCGGCAUAAUUAUCCAUCACCGAUCCGAUGCCUACGAGCUUUCCAUCUACUGAUUUACGCUUAUUUACUUUUCCGUUGUUACUGUUACAAUCACUAGAAAAUACCAAAAAUAUUACUUUCGCUUUCAUUACUCUUUUGUUACCGUUACCACUACUAUCAUAUUACUGUGCUACUAAACACUUUGCUGCAGAUAUUAAGUUUUCAGGUGUGGUUGAAUUGACAACUCAGCUGCUAAUACUUGAGAAUAUUCUUUGGCUUCCCUUGUGUCGAAUCAAUAAAUUUGGGUUGAAUACUCUACCCUUGAAAACUGUUGCGAUCCCCUAUACUUGUGGGUUAUCAAGGAGCAGCCCGUCGCUGCGUUCCACCCGGGCCUGGUGGGCCAGGGGUGGAGCUGGUCGUGCACGGCCGCCGACAUGGCCGACGCUGUGGGGGCCGUGAACUGGUGCCCUACACCGCAACGUUCACCGUAGCGCGAGACGUCGCCAUAGGGUGAGGUGGUGCAGGCGCCUCCCACCUUCCAGGAGCCUCCCGCCUUCUAAGGACCGGCCUACAUCUGGACGCCGCCGCCCUACAUCGACCUCAUUGGCGACGAUGGCGACAACGGCGACGCGUUAGGAGACGGCAACGGGCACGACAUCGACGAGCACGACAGGAACGCACGGGCGGCGCUUUUCUUUUGUUUUUUUAUGUUAGUUAUGUCUAUGUGAAUUGUGGAACGGGGCCGUGAUGUUUAAUUAUGUUUUUAUGUUUUUAUAUUUGCAUUUAUUUUAAUUUUUCGGCAUUUGUUUUAGUUUUUAUGAUUUUUUUAAGCGCGUCCACCGCGGACAUGAUUUGAAGUGCGGCCGCGCGUUGGAUGCACCGACACGGCAACAGCCUCAAGUGGACAUGGGUGAUCCAUUGCCGUGUUAAACGGACGAAAGCAGGCCAAAACGAACGUUCGUUUGGUGUCGUGGGCUGAAGUUGGCCUGAAACUAGUACUCCGGGGCUCGACCGGAAGAACUUGAAAAAAAAACUGGGCCGGAGAGGGGAGAGAUGGAGUGAGGGGCAAGCAGACGACCUCGCCGCCGGCGAGGGUUAUGGGCAGGAGAAUGCUUCGUCUCUGGCCAAUCCCCCCACCCCCUCCCACCCGUACAGCGACUGUACCGCCCUGCCCGGCCAAGUCCCCCCUCGCUCCCCGCGCCCGCCGCGAAGUGGAUCCCCCCGGCGCGACCCGGCGGCGACGACGAGGUAAGCCAGCCAGCCACCCAAGCAUGAUUUAUUCUCCGGCCGUAUCCAUGGGCUCCAACUUAGGUACUAAAUCCGAUCGAGAAUUUGCUGUCAGUAAAUCUGAACUGAAUUUCUUAGGCUUCGAUUGCCAUCCUGAGUUGGCCAAGGGAAACAACUUGAUUUGAUUUUAUGCUGCUUCCAAUGACAAAACGAUAUUCAUGUGAUUGCUGCUGCUCAGAGGCUCCUGACGUAUAUGAUUGCCGCCCUUCAUUAAUUGUGUGCCUACCUUUGACAGAUUAACUGCAUCUUGCUACUAGUAUUAGUGAUGGUAGCUACCUGUGACAGAUUCCAAAUGUACCUUUUGACACAUUUGGAAUCCCUGAAUACAUGUUUUUCUGCCGUUCCUUGUUAAUAUCUGACCUCUGACAGAGGAUAAUUUCAACACGAGUAGAGUCCUGUAGCUUGAUUGAUGGAUCUGAGACUGUUCGCCAUUUUUCGUUUUCAAGUUUUCAGUUUGGUCAGUCAAAACAUGUGGGCAACUACUGGAACCAUGCUGCUGCCAAGCAGCUGGAGUUCGUCUCGUUGGUCACCUUCACCUUGUGUGAAGUAGAUUGGCGCCAACAAUCGGUGCCAUAUCAGUGCCACCGUCCUGCGACAAUGCCUAACCACCCCCCNNNNNNNNNNNNNNNNNNNNNNNNNNNNNNNNNNNNNNNNNNNNNNNNNNNNNNNNNNNNNNNNNNNNNNNNNNNNNNNNNNNNNNNNNNNNNNNNNNNNNNNNNNNNNNNNNNNNNNNNNNNNNNNNNNNNNNNNNNNNNNNNNNNNNNNNNNNNNNNNNNNNNNNNNNNNNNNNNNNNNNNNNNNNNNNNNNNNNNNNNNNNNNNNNNNNNNNNNNNNNNNNNNNNNNNNNNNNNNNNNNNNNNNNNNNNNNNNNNNNNNNNNNNNNNNNNNNNNNNNNNNNNNNNNNNNNNNNNNNNNNNNNNNNNNNNNNNNNNNNNNNNNNNNNNNNNNNNNNNNNNNNNNNNNNNNNNNNNNNNNNNNNNNNNNNNNNNNNNNNNNNNNNNNNNNNNNNNNNNNNNNNNNNNNNNNNNNNNNNNNNNNNNNNNNNNNNNNNNNNNNNNNNNNNNNNNNNNNNNNNNNNNNNNNNNNNNNNNNNNNNNNNNNNNNNNNNNCAUUGUCCUGAAUGGAAAUCAGAGGUAGUUGCUGAUGUGCUUCUUUUUAUUUCUCUGUUCUGCCAUUAACUAGUAUAUAUAUAUGUAUAUAUAUAUAUCAGAUUUGAUGAUAGAUUAAUUUUAGAGAUGCAUUCAUGUCACUCCGAAAAUAAAGUGUGUAAAAAUCUUUAUACCCUUCCCAAUUAUUGCUCUCAAGUUGCCAGCAACCAUACCUUGGAUCAGCUAGCUGUAAGCUGUCCACUCAAGAUUCUGAAGCAGGACCACGCUGUGUUUGUGUUAUCGCAAAUCGACGCUGAGUUUCGGUCUCUUAUAAAACUAAUCAAAUUUGGGUCUCAGAUUUCCACCAUUUCUUAUCAAAGUAAUUUGCUUUUGGAAUCUGUAUGUAUAUAGCUUAGUUCAUUGCUCCUGCAUACUUUUCUGAAUAUAGCCUUAUUUACCUAACAGUGUGUAAUUCAGAAAUCCUUGUAAGCCUCCAUUUCUACUGCUCCUCAUGAUCAAUAUAGCUUAAUUAUCCACUAUUUGUGCAUACGUUGCCAACCUUCAGAAUUUCUAAAUCUUCUCCUAGAAAACAAAACCAAAGGAGAGCCCACUAUUUGAAGCAGAAAACUGAAGCAAGAGAACUUGGUUGCCUGGAAUUGCACAUGGGUAAGCUGUCCAAGGCUUGAAGCUAUUCCUCUGUGACUCUGUAUCACAUCACUGUGUGUAUACCACAGUAUGGACUGCACCUUUAACGCAUCACUUUUAAUGCAGAGGUCCAUGAAUGUCCAAGUGAUUGGAUGUGCAACUGUGCAUGCCGGGAAAAUAAUUGAGCUUCAGCAACCACGAGAAGAAUAGCAUUGACUUGAGAUGGCUUGCGGUCCUUGCUCUCUCUAAGACAGUAAACUAUUUUGAUCAUCAUACUACUAAACUGAGAUUUCCACCAUACUUGCUAUGGCAGGUGCUUGGCUCCUAGAAUGAUCGAAAAGACAGGGAGCAAUAGAUGAAAGAGUUUAAGUACAUAGAGGUGGACAAGAAUAUAGCUGUUCCUUUGGAUUGAUGCUCGCUCUGUCAAAACAUUCCUUUUAAUCUCUGUGAGCAUAUAUAGCUUAGUUUGCUGCUAGUGGUUUAGCUACUAUACUGCUCAGGCAUAUCUGAAUAUAUCCUUAUUAUUGUUCUUACUUAACAGUGGGUGUUUCACAAACUGUAUGCCCAUGUUCUUAAAUUCUAAACAUGUUGCCAUCCAUGUCAUUUCCAAACCUUCAGAAUUACUAAAUCUUCUCCUAGAGAAUAUCUUGUUAAAAACAAAACAAAAGGAGAGACACAUUAGGGACUCUGAAGCAAGCAUGCAGAACCUUGGUAUGUCCAACGGUUUUAUGGCUCUGCUCCGGCAGAACUCUGCUUGGUUGCACAUGGGUAGGCAGUAGGCUGUUGAAGGCUUCAAGGCAUUAGCUCUGUGCCGCUGUAUCACUGUGUGCAUACCGUGCCACAGUAUGGAGACAUAUAUCACCACAGUGCUAUGAAGCAGCACCUUUAAUGCGUGGGGCCACGGGCACACGGGCGCAGGGCCGGAAAAUAAUUGAGCUUCAGCCACCACGAAAAUAAUUGACUUGACUUGGAGCUUCAGAUGGCUUCAACAAGACUAGCUUUCAUUCUCUGUUCUCACCAAGCCAUGACUCUGCUCUGGUGAUUUCAGAUCCUAAAGCAAGCCCACAAGGAGGAGGUCACCAGCACCACAAGUCCAGAUCUACAUCGAUUACAGGUCAGGUUCGCUGCCCUUAAUUUGGUUUUGCUCCUGGGUAGCUAGGUCGAUGCUAAUCGAUUACAGGUCAGUGCUGUUCUUUAGAUCUGAUGGGUACCUCAAGUUGAAGAUCGAAGCCAACUACUCUACUUGUCAUCAACAACAAGCCCAGCACACUUUCAGCCACACCCAUGACUCCAUGAGGGUUCAGGAUCUCCAUGGUUAAGCUUCAAUGACAACCCCAACAGCCCCAAGUCGUUAGGUCUAGUUUUUUGUGAGGAUCCAUGAGAUUAUUCUGAUGGUUUCAGAUUCGCAAAUGCACAAGGAGGUCGCCAACAUGGAUCGGAUCUAAGCCAUUUCGAAGCAGGUAUGUCAUCCUUCCUAAUUCUCUCGCUAUCUUAGGUUGUAGUAAGAACAAUAUAUCUCCUUGCUGCAAACAGAAAAAACUCAUGCUGUAUCUUUGUGACUAAUGCAUUGUCAUUUAUUCCAGCACCAGUAAGCACGAUAGAGAUUUCUCUUGGAAGGACGAGCUUCUUAAUUUGUGACGACGCCAAGGUCUGGUGAGCGGGAAAGUAUGUUCAGGUUUUAGUUACCGUCCAUCAUUUCCCUUGGAUUCACAAAUAAUUUGGAAUUAAUCUGUAGCAUAGUUGUUCAUAGUGCUCAUUACUGGUGACAUACUUGGCAGUUAGCACAUGCAUGCUGGGCAUAUGCUCUAGCAUUGUAGUUACCAUAAUGUUGGAGUUUCUAGCCUUGCAAAGUCAUCAUUCUUGUUUUUCUUUGAACCUUCUGUUGUGUGUUAAUUAGGAAGGAUACUUUGGAUAUUAUUACAAUCACACAGGUUGGAACCGAGCCCUGCAAUACACCACCAAACAACACCUUCCUACCAAUACCAUACUGUUCUAGCUCGCGCGCUGCUCCAUUUGCUUGGCGAUGAAUCUUCUCAAAUCUGAAUUGGGCCAACUCCUGGAGUAACAGCCUGUUUCCUUUAUAAUGCAGCCGAUCGCAGAAAGAUUUCUCUUGGUACACCAACGCGUUGACUACUGGGCUGCAGUUGCUCUGCACAACCACAGGGGUAUUGUAGAUUACACUUUAUGCACCUCUUCUAGACAAGUCAGAGCCUUGGCUUCCUCUGCACUUAUGCACCAGUUAACUGAAUUCUUGAACAAUGAGCAUUUUAUCAGGCUUGACAGCACAUCUCCAGCAGAUUCUGUAUACAUUCUAGUUGUGUGAGGAUCUCGUAAAGUACCUUUUAACUAAAAUCGCUUUCGUUACAGUUUAUUGAUUUCUCCUAAUGACUCCUAUGACAUUAUAGCAUUUCUUUCUUAUUCAUUUUCUUGAUUCGAUACAUCUAUCUUUCUUUCAACCCAAUCGACAACUAGCUAUUAGGUAUAUGUUGAGAAAGCUAUGGAACUAUCACAUUAGCCAACUCUUUGAAAUUUGAUAUUCAUUGGUGAGCUGGCCUGGCAAGUAGAUUGGUUGCCACUCUCUUACUAGGUUAAAAUUUCAAUAUUCUGUGAAUUUUUACUUGCUAAGGAAGCAGAGUAUGCAUUGUCAGUUAUUUGGUCAAGUUCACUCGUUCUUAUCAGCUAAUAACAUGAAGUUUGCUCCUGUUCACUAUAGCACAAUGCCAAGUGUUUUAAAUUCUCACAGACAUGCAUGUUAUAAGAACAGUUUUGUUUGAUUAUGUAGGUUAGUGUUACAUAGGUUAACAGUAUGAAAUAAUACUGUAGGGGGGUUACUUUGAGAGUUUUGGCAAGUGCUUGGUACUAGCAAAACGCACUAACAGUUUGAUUUAAUUAAACAACUGUGGCUAUUUGCUCCAUACAUCUGGAAAUAUUAUUAGAUAGAUAUUGAGAAAGUUACCUGUUACAGUCACAUUAGCCUGCUAUCUGAAAGUAGAAUAUUCAUAUCGGGCGAGCUAGCAUGUAUUUCAGAUAUCUUUCCUCUUUGACUUGCUCAGUUCAAAUUUAAACAUUUGGGCCAUUUUAAGCUGAGCUGCCCCUGUACGAAGAGCAUGUACGAUCGGUCAUUUGGUUCAUUGUCACUUGUGGUGGUCAGUUAAUAACAUUAAGUUUGCUGCAGUGGAAUAUUGCACAGUCCCAAGUGUUUUAAAUUUCUCAUUGACCUGCCUGUUCUAAGUACAUCUUUGCUUGAUUGUGUGGGUUAGAGCUAGCUACGUUAACAACAAUUAAUAAGAAUCUGGGACGAUUUCUUGGAAAUGUUCUUUUUAUUUAACUUUUUCAUUGUGGUUGAAGAGUUUUGAAGUGUUUCGGCAAGUGCUUGGUACUAGCAGAAUGCACUAACGGUUUAACUAAUACAGCACUCACUUCAUUUUGCAGUGGCCAUUCUAUUGAUAUUUGAGUAAGUAUACAACUAGGCAACCACCCAUCAGAAGCCAGGUAUGCUGGUGCUUCUUUGGUUUUGAUGUGUAAAAGGAAGGAGGAUUCUUCAAGUUGAAGAUCAAAUCCAGCUACGUUUCAUCAACAAAAAGCUAGCACGCUCUCAGUCGUACCCAUGGCUCCAUGAGGGUUCAGGAUCUCCAUGGUUAAGCUUCGAUGACAAGUUGACAACCUCAACAGCCAAGUCAUGAGGUCCCUAGUUUUUUGUGAGGAUCCAUGAGAUUAUUCCUAUGGUUUCAGAUUCAGAAAAGCACAAGGAGGUCCCCAACAUUGAUUGGAUCUAAGCCAUUACGAG